rnacentral:lncRNA from 1 species
CGCCCUCUGGUGGUGCUGCUGCUGCUGCCUGAGGUGCAUCGGAGGCGAGGACCGGACGAGUCUUGUGGCUGUUGCGAGGAAGGAGGAGAGGGGGGAGGGAGAUCGGACGGCGGAGCUCGAGAGGGGGAUGGAGGGGUUUGGGGUUAGGAAGAGAAGGGCCAGGGGUCGGAGCUGGAGAUGGCGAGGCGGAAGACGGUGAGGGAGGAGUCNNNNNNNNNNNNNNNNNNNNNNNNNNNNNNNNNNNNNNNNNNNNNNNNNNNNNNNNNNNNNNNNNNNNNNNNNNNNNNNNNNNNNNNNNNNNNNNNNNNNNNNNNNNNNNNNNNNNNNNNNNNNNNNNNNNNNNNNNNNNNNNNNNNNNNNNNNNNNNNNNNNNNNNNNNNNNNNNNNNNNNNNNNNNNNNNNNNNNNNNNNNNNNNNNNNNNNNNNNNNNNNNNNNNNNNNNNNNNNNNNNNNNNNNNNNNNNNNNNNNNNNNNNNNNNNNNNNNNUUGCCUGCUUUCCUUUUUUUUUUUCUGAUGUGGAGGAGGUCGUUGUUGGCGAGGAAGAAAGAGGGGGGGUUGGGAGGCGAGGGAGCCCCGCCUUUUAUAGCAGCCCAGGAGCCCCGGUGCGGUGCGGGGUUGGUAACCUGGUGGCCGUUUCCUUCCCGUGCCCGUCCCGUCUCCGUUACCCGAGCGAAGGGACGAACCGGACCCGUGGAGACGCGACCGACCACGCGUGGGCGCGCGCGGUUGGGCGUGGGCGGGGCGGUCGUUUCUUUGGGGAGAAGGAAGGAAGGGGUGGUGAGGUGGUCAGGUCAGGUCAGGUCAGGCAGGGCGUGCGCGUGGCCGCUGCGGCUGCGGUUGCGGUUGGGGCCAGGGGCGGCCGAUCUGGGUUCAGAUGAGGAUGCAGGCCUGGCGGCGGUUACGAUUUGCUUGGCUCGGUCUUUUCUCGCGUGUACUGUUUGUUCUCUCUCUCUCGGUUUGGGGUUGACUUGGCUGCGAGGAGGAGGAGGCGGCCUGUAUGCUUGGGAUCCGAUCGACGGGUUCGUUCGAGGAUAAUAACGGAAAAGGAUAUUCUUUCUGGCGCUAACGGUUCUGCCGGAUCCUUUGGCCAAGACGAUGAGGUAUUCGUUCGCUCGCAAAGUUUGCAAGUUGACCGUAAAUAUUCUAUGCAGGCGUCACCAGCUGUGCCGGAUUCAGACAAUUGCAUAUAUGUAUUGUAUCACAACAAAUCCUAUCUGAAUUCUCCUAUAUCUUACGCUCUUGUUGCUGCCCCCGGUCUCUAGAAUAAUACUCCUCCGCAAAAAAAAAAAAAAAAAACCAUACAUACAAGCUAGGAUGUGGCCGUUGCAUCUGCGUUUCCCCUACCGUGCGCACAAUGUGUAGGCAGAUGAUUUGCAAUACCAUAACUUGAUUGGGGUGCUGGCGCACGCAUAUAUAAUACAAGGAAAGGCCUCUACCUCAACUAUAGAAGACUAUGAGGUGGGCCACAACUCCAAUACACGUGCAGUAUAAAAUACAUACUCAACACUCGCCCGCAGUCGAAGCGUCGCCCGAGACACAGAGACUGGACCGAAACUCCUCAAAUACGGGAGUAGGCAAUCCCUUAGUCAUCACAUCAGCAAACUGUUGCGUCGUCGACACGUGAAGAACCCGAACACGGUCAAGGACAACCUCCUCACGCACGAAGUGAAUAUCGAGCUCAAUAUGCUUCGUCCGUCGAUGGUGUACCGGGUUGGCGGAGAGGUAGAUCGCGCUGACGUUAUCGCAGUACACAAGAGUGGCCUUGUGAACAUCACAAAGCAACUGCUGGAGCAGCUGGCGUAUCCAAGAGCACUCGGCCACGGCGUUGGCCACGACGCGAUACUCUGCCUCGGCGCUGGAGCGGGAGACCGUGGGCUGCCGCUUCGAUGACCAAGAGAUCAACGAGGGCCCAAGGUAGACGCAGUAGCCUGACGUAGACCGUCGCGUGUCGGGCAGCCAGUCCAGUCAGCAUCCUAGUAGGCCACGAGGUCGGUGGAGGCGGAGGCCGUCAGGGUGAGUCCCAAGGACAUGGUGCCGCGUAUGUAACGGAGAAUACGCUUCACCAGAGACCAGUGAGAGUCAUGCGGGGCGUGCAUAUGGAGGCACACCUGCUGAACAACAUACUGCAGUCGGGGCGAGUCAGCGUCAAGUACUGUAAAGCACCGACAAUAGAGCGAUAAAACGCUCCAUCGGACGCGAGAGACCCCUCCAGAGUAGAGACCUUCGCCUUCGUGUCGACGGGGGUGGGGGCCGGCUUGCAGUUAAGCAUACCGGCACGCUCAAGGAGCUCGCGGGCGUACUUUUGCUGAUGCAGAAAGAAACCGUCAGCCCGGCGGAUCACCUAGAUGCCGAGAAAGUAGUGCAGGGGGCCCAAGUCCUUGAGGGCGAACUCAUCACGAAGACGAGCAGUCAGCCGCUGAAGGAGAUCGGGGGUGGACGCCAUGAGGAUGAUGUCGUCGACGUAGAGCAGCAGAUAUGCAGUGGCAGCUCCCUGAUGAUACACAAAGAGUGAGGCAUCGGAGCGAGUGGACCGAAAGCCCAGAGACUGGAGGAAGGCUGCGAUACGCUGGUACCAAGCCCGAGGCACCUGCUUCAACCCGUACAGAGAGCGGGAGAGCAAGCACACGAAGUUGGGGUGCUCGGCGUCGACGAAACCAGUAGGCUGCUCACAGAACACCUGCUCGGCGAGAUGACCGUGCAAGAAGGCGUUGGAAACGUCCAACUGAUGCACAGGCCAGGCGCGCGAGCCGGCCAGCUGAAGGACGGCGCGGAUCGUGCCCGGUUUCACAACCGGGGGCGAAGGUGUAGGUGAAGUCCACGCCCGCGCACUGCCGAAAACCACGAACCACCCAUCGAGCCUUGUAGCGCUCGAGAGAACCGUCCGGGCAAGUCUUGUGGCGAAACACCCACUUGCCAGAGAUGAUGUUGGCACGAAGGGGUCACAGAACAAGUUGCCACGUGCGGUUGCGCUGUAAGGCGUCGAACUCCUCCUGCAUCGCAGCUAGCCAGUGGAGAUCCCGAAGGGGAGCGCGAGCGGGGGUGGGGACGGGUGAUGGCAUCGACGUCGAGGCGGCGCACACAUACUCGUUGGCGGAGUAGCGCGUGCUGGGCCGAAGCACUCCUGCUCGGGCACGGCUAGUCACGCCAAGUGGUGGGGCAGCAGGGCCGACUACUGCGGCGGCGGUGGCCNNNNNNNNNNNNNNNNNNNNNNNNNNNNNNNNNNNNNNNNNNNNNNNNNNNNNNNNNNNNNNNNNNNNNNNNNNNNNNNNNNNNNNNNNNNNNNNNNNNNNNNNNNNNNNNNNNNNNNNNNNNNNNNNNNNNNNNNNNNNNNNNNNNNNNNNNNNNNNNNNNNNNNNNNNNNNNNNNNNNNNNNNNNNNNNNNNNNNNNNNNNNNNNNNNNNNNNNNNNNNNNNNNNNNNNNNNNNNNNNNNNNNNNNNNNNNNNNNNNNNNNNNNNNNNNNNNNNNNNNNNNNNNNNNNNNNNNNNNNNNNNNGGCGGUGGCCGCGACGGCGGGGGGCACCUGGUGCAGCGGUGGGGGCACCCGGUGCAGCGGCGUCUGAGGCCACAGCGGCGGCGGCGGAGGCGGCGGAGGCCGCCGCGGUGGCGGAAGAGGCGACGGGCGAGGGUGACGUCGAGCCCGUCGUAGGGUGGGCGGGCGGGGUGCCGGGCUCAACCUCGUAUGAGGGAGACGGGGACCCGGGGACCCGCUCGGAUUCGACCUCGGGGGAGGAAGUCACGAAGCCAGGUGGUGGUGGCAGAGGGCGCCGUGCCGGGGGGCGCCGGGGGCUGUCGUCGUGCAUCGCUCCACGAAGGGGGCGCGGGGGCCAGUGCUGAAGGGACCGAAGUCGAAGGAACCUGAAAAAAAGGGAACACCGUCUCGACAAAGUACACAUGCAUCGAGGUGUACACACGAUGAGUGACAGGAUCAUAGCACUGGUAACCUUUAGUGUUAGGAGGGUAGCCAAGGAAGACGCAUGGGACAGGUCGUGGUGCGAGCUUGUCUGGCGUGGUGGAUGCGGUGCUAGGAUAAUGAUAAUCCCUAAGUGCAGGGAAUCAUCGUAGCAAUUCAUAAAGGUGGAAGUGAUAAGUAUGGAGUGUCGAACCCACAAGGAGCUAAAGGUAAAAAGAUCAAUAUUCUCUCAAGCCCUAUCUGCCACUGAUAUGACUCUACAUGCACCGAAUGUUCGCUUCCAAUUAGAAACAAGAAAUAAAACUGUGUUGUGGGUAUGAAGAGGAUAACUUUGUAUGAUAUCGGAGAGCUAAAAUGUAAAAAUAGGUGCUAUUAUCAUAAAGUUAGAAUAUAUUACUAAAUAAUAUAAAUAGCGAGUGUGGAAUAAUGAUGGGUCGGUGUGCAGAAUUGUCCUAGGCAAUUGUUAACAAGACCGAUAGUCGUCAUUGCAACUUCAUAUGAGGGAGAGGCAUAAGUUAACAUACUUUCUCUACUUAGAUCAUAUGCACUUAUGAUUGGAACUCUAGCAAGCGUAGGUAAAACCCAACCAUAGCAUUAAAGCAUCAAGUCCUCUUUAUUCCCAUACGCAACAACCCCCUUACUCGGGUUUGUGUUCCAGUCACUCACCAACCCACUAUAAGUGAAUCAUGAACUUAUUGCAACACCCUACAGUGGGAAUCCCUCACACUUGCGCGACAUGGAGGGCACCAUAGGACAACACCAAAAUAAAACAUACAACUCGUACCAAUCUAGACCAUCAAUCAUCCCAAGGACAAAAGAUAUCUACUCAAAACAUCAUAGGAUGGCAACACAUCAUUGAAUCAUAAUAUGCGGCAUAAAGCACCAUGUUCAAGUAGGGAUUACAGCGGGGUACGGGAGAGUGGACCGCGUAAAAUAGAUGAGGAUGGUGAUGAGGAUGGUGAUGUUGAUGAAGACGAUCACCGGCGAUGAUUCCCCUCCCGAUGGCACUCCGGUGCCACCAAGAGAGAGGAGGAGAGGUUCUCCCCCUUGUGCUUCCUCCUCCAUGGCUUUCCCCCUCUGGUCCUUGGCCUUCAUGACGAUGAUGGCCCCUCCGAGGUCCUCCUCCAUGGCCUCCGGUGAUGAUGGCCCCCUCCGGCAGGGUGCCGGAGAGGGCCUAGAUUGAUUUCUCGUGGCUACAGAGGCUUGCGGCGACAGAACUUCCGAUCUAGGUUAAUUCCCGAAGGUUUCUGUAUUUAUAGGAAUUUUUGGCGUUGGUUUCACGUUAGGGGGUUCUCCGGGCUGUCCACGAGAUAGGGGGCGCGCCCUAGGGGGGUGGGCGCGCCCCCCACUCUCGUGGGCAGCUCGGGACUCUUCUGGCCCAACUCUGAUGCUCCGUGGUCUUCUUUUGGUCCAUAAAAAAUCGUAAAAAAUUGGCACGCCAAUUGGAUUCCGUUUGGUAUUCCUUUUCUGUAAAACUCAAAAACAAGGAGAAAAUAGAAUCUGGCAUUGGACUCUAGGUUAAUAGGUUAGUCCCAAAAAUCAUAUAAAAUGGCAUAUAAAUGCAUAUAAAACAUCAUAGAUGGAUAAUAUAAUAGCAUGAAUACUUCAUAAAUUAUAGAUACGUUGGAGACGUAUCAGCAUGCCCAAGGUUAAUUCCUGCUCGUCCUCGAGUAGGUAAAUGAUAAAAGAAAUAAUUUAUGAAGUGUGAAUGCUAGCAGGUGCAUAAGUUUGAUCAAUGAUAAUUUCAAUAACCUUUUCUAGCAUCAUUAUGUGUCAUGAUAGUAGCUUAUCUCAUAAAACUUUUCAUGAUCAAGUAACAGUCUAUUCACAAUGUCAAGUAUGGUUCAGAAACUUCAUUGAGAACUAACAAACUAUAAUCUCAGUCAUUGAAGCAAUUGCAAUUUAUUAUAACAUCAGAAAGAGUCAAGAAUAGAGCUUUUCAGCAAGUCCACAUACUCAACUAUCAUAUAGUCUUCUACAAUUGCUAACACUCACGCAAUACUUGUGGUUAUGGAGUUUCAGCCGGACACUGAGAAAGAUAGGGGCUUAUUGUGUUGCCUCCCAACGUAUUCACCUUUAGGUGAUGUCAAUAAUAAUAGCCCAUGCUAACUUACAUCUAAUUGGAUAUAUAUAUAUAUAUAUAUAUAUAUAUAUAUAUAUAUAUAUAUAUAUAUAUAUAUAUAUAUAUAUCAUGAUCUUUCAAACACGAGGAGCUUGCCAAAAGAUAAAAUGAAAAAGGGAAAGGUGAGGAUCACCUUGACUCAAGCAUAAAGUAAAAACACAAAGUAAAAGACAGGCCCUUCGCAGAGGGAAGCAGAGGUUGUCAUGUGCGUUUAGGGUUGGAUGCAUAAAAUCUUAAUGCAAAAGAACGUCACUUUAUAUUGCCCCUUGUAUGUGGACCUUUAUUAUGCAAUCUGUCGCUUUUAUUGCUUCCACAACAAGAUCGUACAAAUCUUAUUUUCUCUACACUAAUAAGUCAUACAUAUUUAGAUAGCAAUUUUUAUUGCCUGCAACAUGACAACUUACUUGAAGGAUCUUACUCAAUCCAUAGGUAGGUAUGGUGAAUUCUCAUGGCAAAACUGGGUUUAAGAAUACUUGGAAGCACAAGUAGUAUCUCUACUUGGUGCAAGGAAUUUGGCUAGCAUGAGGGGGAAAGGCAAGCUCAACAUAUUUGGAAGGUCAAUGAUAAUAUACUUUAACUGCGAUGUGAGAAAACAUAAACCAUUACGUUGUCUUCCUUAUCCAACGUCAACUCUUUUAGCAUGUCAUACUUAAUGAGUGCUUCACAAUCAUAAAAGAUGUCCAAGAUAAUAUAUUUGUAUGUGAACCUCUCUUUCCUUAUUACUUCCUAUUAAUUGCAACGAUGACCAAAACUAUGUUUGUCAACUCUCAACAACUUUUAUGCCUCAUACUUUUUAUAUGUGAAGUCAUUACUUUUCAUGUUAUAAGCAUAUGAAACAUAUAUAAAUUCAGAUUUAUGACAUUCAAUUCAUUCCCCCAUUUACUGAUAGGAUAUAAAUGCAGCACAUGAGUAAAUAACAAACUACUCUAAAAGAUAUGAGUUAAAGACACUGAGUAGUCAAAUAAUUAACUAGCCAUGGGAGGGUUACUUUUUUAUUCAAAAUUUCAAAUCCAAUGAUUUUAUUCAAACAACAAGUAAAAUUGAAAAUACGCUCCAAGCAAAACACAUAUCAUGUGACGAAUAAAAAUAUAGCUCCGAGUAAGAUGUACCGAUAGUUUUGAAGACGAAAGAGGGGAUGCCUUUGAAUAUUACCUUGGGGUGCCUUGGUCAUCCCUAAGCUUAGGGUCUUUCCACUCCUUAUUCUCCUCAUAUCGAUAUCUCACCCAAAACUUGAAAACUUCAAUCACACAAAACUUAAUGGAACUUCGUGAGAUAGGUUAGUAUGAUAAAGAGUAAACCAUGCACUUUGGUACUGUAAAAGAUAAGGUUCAUAAUUGUUUUCACAUAAUGUCUACUGUACCAUAUCAUUUCUACAAUUUAUAUUAAGAAAUAUAAGCCACAGAAACUAGAAACAAGCAAACUAUGCAAUGAAAACAUAAUCUGUCAGAAACAGAACAGUCUGUAAUGAUCUGAACAAUAACCAUACUUCUGCUACUCCAAUAAUUAUGAAAUAACUUGGUGGACGUGAGUAAUUUGUCUAUUAAACUUUUGCAAAAAGAAUCAACUCAAAAUCACUCUUCUGUAAAAAAUGACAGCUAAUCUCGUGAGUGCAAAGUUUCUGUUUUUUACAGCAAUAUCACAUUAAUUCUCACCCAAGUCUUCCCAAAGGUCUUACUUGGCACUUUAUUGAAACAAAAGCUAUAAAACAUGAUUAAUACAGUAGAUUAAUCAUGUAGGCACACAAAAACAGUAAGGGCAAAAAUUGGGUUGUCUCCCAACAAGCGCUUUUCUUUAAUGCCUUUUAGCUAGACAUGAUGAUUUCAAUGAUGCUCACAUAAAAGAAUAGAGUUGAAACACAAAGAGAGCAUCAUAAAGAAUAUGACUAGCACAUUUAAAUCUAACUCACUUCCUAUGCCUAGUGAUUUUGUGAGCACACAAUUUACAAGAACAAAAGUCAACUAGCAUAGGAAGGCAAAACAAGUAUAACUUCAAAACUUUAAGCACAUAGAGAGAAAACUUGAUAUUAUUGCAACUCCUACAAGCACAUAUUCCUCCCUCAUAAUAAUUUUUAGUAGCUUCAUGGAUAGCAACUUUGUCUCAUACUCAAUUGGAACCUCUUCUGAAAUAGUGGAAUACUAACUAAAGCUGACACUCUUCUAAAUCCACUUUCAUAAAUAUCAUACGAAGAUUCAACACCCUCCAAGAUAGUGGGAUCACUUGUUCCUAAAGUUGACACUCUUCCAAACCCACUUUAAAUUAUAGUAUUAUUCAUACUCCAAAAGAUAUAAGUGAAGUUCCUGGAGCAUUCUACAAUUAAUAUAGACUAGACAAUAUCGAAGCUCAAAAUAUAUAAGUGAUGCACACGAAGCAUUCUAUAAAACCAUACUCAAACGAUUUAAGUGAAGCACAAAGAGCAAUUCUAUAAGAUCAUACUUAAAAGAUAUAAGUGAAUCACAUGAAGUAUUCUAUAAAUCAAUGAAGAGCUAUCUCGUACUAGCAUGAUUCUUAAAGAAAAGUAAAAACACAAAUGACACAAAUCAUGUGAACAAAACAAAAACCGAGGUAUACCGAUAUUUAUUGAAGAAGAAAGAUGGGAUGCCAACCGGGGCAUCCCCAAGCUUAGAUUCUUGAGUAUCCUUUGAAAUAUUUACUUGGGGUGCCUUGGGCAUCCCCAAGCUUGAACUCUUGUCUCUCUUUAUUCUUCUCACAUCGGUAACGCCUCGUUCUUCAAACACUUCAUUCACAAAAACUUAAACAAAAACUUGUGAGAUCCGUUAGUGUAAUAAAGCAAACUACCACUUCAAGGUACUAUAAUUAACUCAUUUUGUGUUUAUAUUGGUGUUAAACCUAAUGUAUUCCAACUUCUCUAUGGUUCAUACCCUUACAUACUAGCCAUAGAUGCAUCAAAAUAACCAUACAACACAUGAAAAAACAGAAUCUAUCAAGAACAGGACAGUCUGUAGUAAUCUGGAAGUUUAGUAAACUUCUGUAACUCCUAAAAUUAUGAAAUAAAUUUGACAAUUUGAAAAAUUUGUACAGAAGUAAUAUGCAAAACGUUUCAGAUCCAUUUGGCUUUCCGGUAAAAUAUGUAAAUUCAUGCACUACAGACAAAGUUUCUAUUUUUGUUCUGCACAAAGUAAGCAAGCAAUCUUAUCAUACUAAAACCAAAGCUAGGCACAUUAUUUUUAUAAUACAAUGGAUAUAUACAAGGGUAUAAUUAUUUACAGAGAAACUUCCAUGAAAAAUUCUACAUUGUUUCCGUGAGCAUGAACACAAGUGCUCAAGGUCGACCCUCACUUCUUCAAUGCAUAACUUGCCAAUCACUUAUCUUUUUGAAAAACUUUUUUAGGCAUGAGAGGCAAGUAAAUAUUUUUGUAUUUUCAUUCUUUUUAAUUUUUUUGUAUGUUUCACCCACAACUAAACAGAAACAGAAAAGGAAAAACAAAAUCUACUUAGUGAAGAAAGCAAACAAGCACACACGAAAAUAUCAACCCCACGCUAUUGCUCCCCGGCAACGGCGCCAGAAAAGAGCUUGAUAAUCCCCAAGUGCAGGGAAUCGUCGUAGCAAUUCCCAAAGGUGGAAGUGAUAAGGAUGGAGUGUCAAACCCACAAGGAGCUAAAGGUAAGAUCAAUAUUCUCUCAAGUCCUAUCUGCCACUGAUACGACUCUACGUGCACCGAACGUUUGCUUCCAACUAGAAAAGAAGAAAUAAAACUGUGUUGUGGGUAUGAAGAGGAUAAGUUUGUAUGAUAUCGGAGAGCUAAAAUAUAAAAGUAGGUGCUGUUAUCAUAAAGUUAGAAUAUAUUACUAAAUAAUAUAAAUAGCAAGUGUGGAAUAAUGAUGGGUCGGUGUGCGGAAUUGUCCUAGGCAAUUGUUAACAAGACCAAUAGUCGUCAUCGCAAUUUCAUAUGAGGGAGAGGCAUAAGCUAACAUACUUUAUCUACUUGGAUCAUAUGCACUUAUGAUUGGAACUCUAGCAAGCGUCCGCAACUACUAAAGAUCAUUAAGGUAAAACCCAACCAUAGCAUUAAAGCAUCAAGUCCUCUUUAUUCCCAUACGCAACAACCCCCUUACUCGGGUUUGUGUUUCAGUCACUCACCAACCCACUAUAAGCGAAUCAUGAACAUAUUGCAACAUCCUGUUGGAAAUAUGCCCUAGAGGCAAUAAUAAAAGCAUUAUUAUUAUAUUUCUUUGUUCAUGAUAAUUGUCUUUAUUCAUGCUAUAAUUGUGUUAUCCGGAAAUCGUAAUACAUGUGUGAAUAACAGACACCAACAUGUCCCUAGUAAGCCUCUAGUUGACUAGCUCGUUGAUCAAUAGAUAGUCAUGGUUUCCUGGCUAUGGACAUUGGAUGUCAUUGAUAACGGGAUCACAUCAUUAGGAUAAUGAUGUGAUGGACAAGACCCAAUCCUAAACAUAGCACAAGAUCGUAUAGUUCGUUUGCUAAAGUUUUUGCAAUGUCAAAGUAUCUCUUCCUUCGACCAUGAGAUCGUAUAACUCCUGGAUGCCGUAGGAGUGCUUUGGGUGUAUCAAACGUCACAACGUAACUGGGUGACUAUAAAGGUGCACUACAGGUAUCUCCGAAAGUAUCUAUUGUUUUAUAUGGAUCGAGACUGGGAUUUGUCACUCCGUAUGACGGAGAGAUAUCACUGGGCCCACUCAGUAAUGCAUCAUCAUAAUGAGCUCAAAGUGACCAAGUGUUUGGUCACGGGAUCAUGCAUUACGGUACGAGUAAAGUGACUUGCCGGUAACAAGAUUGAACGAGGUAUUGGGAUACCGACGAUCGAAUCUCGGGCAAGUAACAUAUCGAUUGACAAAGGGAAUUGCAUACUGGGUUGAUUAAAUCCUCGACAUCGUGGUUCAUCCGAUGAGAUCAUCGUGGAGCAUGUGGGAGACAACAUGGGUAUCCAGAUCCCGCUGUUGGUUAUUGACCGGAGAGCGAUCUCGGUCAUGUCUACAUGUCUCCCGAACCCGUAGGGUCUACACACUUAAGGUUCAGUUACGCUAGGGUUGUAGGGAUAUGUAUAUGCAGUAACCCGAAUGUUGUUCGGAGUCCCGGAUGAGAUCCCGGACGUCACGAGGAGUUCUGGAAUGGUCCGGAGGUAAAUAUUUAUAUAUGGGAAGUCCUGUUUCGGGCAUCGGGACAAGUUUCGGGGUUAUCGGUAUUGUACCGGGACCACCGGAGGGGUCCCGGGGGCCCACCGGGUGGGGCCACCCAUCCCCGGGGGCCACAUGGGCUGUAGGGGGUGCGCCUUGGCCUGCUUGGGCCAAGGGCACCAGCCCCACAUAGGCCCAUGCGCCUAGGGUUUAAGGGGGAAAGAGUCCUAGGAGGGUAAGGCACCUCCUAGGUGCCUUGGGGGGGAGGGAAACCCCCCUUGGCCGCCGCACCCCCUAGGAGAUUGGAUCUCCUAGGGCCGGCCACCCCCCCUUGGCACCCCUAUAUAUAGUGGGGGAGAGGAGGGACUUCAUACCUUGAGUCCUUGGCCUUUGGUUGCCUCCUUCUCCCUCCCCAACACCUCCUCCACCUCCUUAUUGCUUAGCGAAGCUCUGCUGGAGUACUGCAGCUCCAUCAACACCACGCCGUCGUGCUGCUGCUGGUGCCAUCUCCCUCAACCUCUCCUCCCUCCCUUGCUGGAUCAAGAAGGAGGAGACGUGGCUGUUUCCGUACGUGUGUUGAACGCGGAGGUGCCGUCCGUUCGGUGCUAGGAUCUCCGGUGAUUCGAAUCACGUCGUGUUCGACUACAUCAUCCCCGUUCUUUGAACGCUUCCGCUCGCGAUCUACAAGGUAUGUAGAUGCAUCUAUUCACUCGUUGCUAGAUGAACUCCUAGAUGAUCUUGGUGAAACGAGUAGGAAUUUUUUUAUUUUCUGCAACGUUCCCCAACAGUGGCAUCAUGAGCUAGGUCUAUGCGUAGUUCUUCUUGCACGAGUAGAACACAAUUGGUUGUGGGCGUAGAUUUGUCAACUUUCUUGCCGCUACUAGUCUUAUCUUGCUUCAGCGGUAUUGUGGGAUGAAGCGGCCCGGACCAACCUUACACGUACGCUUACGUGAGACCGGUUCCACCGACUAACAUGUACAAGUUGCAUAAGGUGGCUGGCGGGUGUCUGUCUCUCCCACUUUAGUUGAAGCGGAUUCGAUGAAAAGGGUCCUUAUGAAGGGUAAAUAGAAGUUAACAAAUCACGUUGUGGUUUCACGUAGGUAAGAAAACGUUCUUGCUAGAACCCUACUUCAGCCACGUAAAACUUGCAAACAACAAUUAGAGGACGUCUAACUUGUUUUUGCAGCAAGUGCUUUGUGAUAUGAUAUGGCCAAAGUUGUGAUGAAUGAUGAAUGAUCUAUAUGUCAUGUAUGAGAUGUUCAUGCUAUUGUAAUAGGAAUCACGACUUGCAUGUCGAUGAGUAUGACAACCGGCAGGAGCCAUAGGAGUUGUCUUUAUUUUUUUGUAUGACCUGUGUGUCAUUAAAGAACGCCAUGUAAACUACUUUACUUUAUUACUAAACGCGUUAGUCAUAGAAGUAGAAGUAGUCGUUGGCGUGACAACUUCAUGAAGACACGAUGAUGGAGAUCAUGAUGAUGGAGAUCAUGGUGUCAUGCCGGUGACAAGAUGAUCAUGGAGCCCCGAAGAUGAAGAUCGAAGGAGCUAUAUGAUAUUGGCCAUAUCAUGUCACUACUUUAUAUAAUUGCAUGUGAUGUUUAUUAUGUUUUAUGCAUCUUGUUUACUUAGAACGACGGUAGUAAAUAAGGUGAUCCCUUACAAAAUUUCAAGAAGUGUUCUCCCCUAACUGUGCACCGUUGCUACAGUUCGUCGUUUCGAAGCACCACGUGAUGAUCGGGUGUGAUAGAUUCUUACGUUCACAUACAACGGGUGUAAGACAGUUUUACACAGCGAAAACACUUAGGGUUAACUUGACGAGCCUAGCAUGUACAGACAUGGCCUCGGAACACGGAGACCGAAAGGUCGAACACGAGUCGUAUGGAAGAUACGAUCUACAUGAGAAUGUUCACCGACGAUGACUAGUCCGUCUCACGUGAUGAUCGGACACGGCCUAGUCGACUCGGAUCGUGUAACACUUAGAUGACCAAAGGGAUGUCAAAUCUGAGUGGGAGUUCAUUAUAAUUUGAUUAGAUGAACUUAAUUAUCAUGAACUUAGUCUAAAUAUUUUACAAUAUGUCUUGUAGAUCAAAUGGCCAACGUAGUCCUCAACUUCAACGCGUUCCUAGAGAAAACUAAGCUGAAAGACGAUGGCAGCAACUAUACGGACUGGGUCCGGAACCUGAGGAUCAUCCUCAUAGCUGCCAAGAAAGAUUAUGUCCUACAAGCACCGCUAGGUGAUGCACCUGUUCUCCCUGCAGAACAAGACGUUAUGAACGCUUGGCAGGCACGUUCUGAUGACUACUCCCUCGUUCAGUGCGGCAUGCUUUACAGCUUAGAGCCGGGGCUCCAAAAGCGUUUUGAGAGACAUGGAGCAUAUGAGAUGUUCGAAGAGCUGAAAAUGGUUUUCCAAGCUCAUGCCCGGGUCGAGAGAUAUGAAGUCUCUGACAAAUUCUUCAGCUGUAAGAUGGAGGAAAAUAGUUCUGUCAGUGAGCACAUACUCACUAUGUCUGGGUUACAUAACCGCUUGACUCAGCUGGGGGUUAAUCUCCCGGAUGAUGCGGUCAUUGACAGAAUCCUCCAGUCGCUUCCACCGAGCUACAAGAGCUUUGUGAUGAACUUCAAUAUGCAGGGGAUGGAAAAGACCAUUCCUGAAGUAUUUGCUAUGCUGAAAUCAGCAGAGGUAGAAGUCAGAAAGGAACAUCAAGUGUUGAUGGUCAAUAAAACCACUAAGUUCAAGAAGGGCAAGGGUAAAAAGAACUUCAAGAAAGACGGCAAGGUAGUUGCCACGCCCAGCAAGCAAGCUGCCGGGAAGAAGCCAAAGAAUGGACCCAAGCCCGAGACUGAGUGUUUUUAUUGCAAGGAAAGUGGUCACUGGAAGCGGAAUUGCCCCAAAUACUUAGCGGACAAGAAGGCCGGCAAAACCAAAGGUAUAUUUGAUAUACAUGUAAUUGAUGUGUACCUUACCAGUAAUAGUAGUAACUCCUGGGUAUUUGAUACCGGUGCCGUUGCUCAUAUUUGUAACACACAACAGGAGCUGCGGAAUAAACGGAGACUGGCGAAGGACGAGGUGACGAUGCGCGUCGGGAAUGGUUCCAAGGUCGAUGUGAUCGCCGUCGGCACGCUACCUCUACAUUUACCCGCGGGAUUAGUUUUGAACCUCAAUAAUUGUUAUUUUGUGCCAAGUUUGAGCAUGAACAUUGUAUCAGGAUCUCGUUUAAUUCGAGAUGGCUACUCAUUUAAAUCCGAGAAUAAUGGUUGUUCUAUUUAUAUGAGAGAUAUGUUUUAUGGUCAUGCUCCGAUGGUGAAUGGUUUAUUCUUUAUGAAUCUCGAGCGUAAUGCUACACAUAUUCAUAGUGUAAGUACCAAAAGAUGUAAGAUUGAUAGUGAUAGUCCCACAUACUUGUGGCACUGCCGCCUCGGUCACAUAGGUAUCAAACGCAUGAAGAAGCUCCAUGCUGAUGGACUUUUAGAGUCUCUUGAUUACGAAUCAUUUGACACGUGCGAACCAUGCCUCAUGGGUAAAAUGACCAAGACUCCAUUCUCAGGAACAAUGGAGAGAGCAACCAACUUAUUGGAAAUCGUACAUACUGAUGUGUGUGGUCCAAUGAGUGUUGAGGCUCGCGGUGGCUAUCGUUAUGUUCUCACCCUCACUGAUGACUUGAGUAGAUAUGGGUAUGUCUACUUAAUGAAACACAAGUCUGAGACCUUCGAAAAGUUCAAGGAAUUUCAGAGUGAAGUUGAGAAUCAACGUGACAGGAAAAUCAAGUUUCUACGAUCAGAUCGUGGAGGAGAAUACUUGAGUCACGAGUUUGGUACACACUUAAGAAAAUGUGGAAUAGUUUCACAACUCACGCCGCCUGGAACACCUCAGCGUAAUGGUGUGUCCGAACGUCGUAAUCGCACUCUAUUAGAUAUGGUGCGAUCUAUGAUGUCUCUUGCAGAUUUACCACUAUCUUUUUGGGGCUAUGCUUUAGAGACUGCCGCAUUCACUUUAAAUAGGGCCCCGUCGAAAUCCGUUGAGACGACACCGUAUGAAUUAUGGUUUGGGAAGAAACCUAAGCUGUCAUUUCUAAAAGUUUGGGGAUGCGAUGCUUAUGUCAGGAAACUUCAACCUGAAAAGCUCGAACCCAAAUCGGAAAAAUGCGUCUUCAUAGGAUACCCUAAAGAAACUGUUGGGUAUAUCUUCUACCUCAGAUCCGAAGGCAAGAUCUUUGUUGCCAAGAAUGGGUCCUUUCUGGAGAAAGAGUUUCUCUCGAAAGAAGUAAGUGGGAGGAAAGUAGAGCUUGAUGAAGUAUUACCUCUUGAACCGGAAAAUGGCGCAACUCAAGAAAAUGUUCCUGAGGUGCCUGCACCGACUAGAGAGGAAGUUAUUGAUAAUAAUCAAGAUACUUCUGAUCAAGCUCCUACUGAAAUUCGAAGGUCCACGAGGACACGUUCCGCACCAGAGUGGUACGGCAACCCUGUCUUGGAAAUCAUGUUGUUAGACAACGGUGAACCUUCGAACUAUGAAGAAGCGAUGGCGGGUCCGGAUUCCGACAAAUGGCUAGAAGCCAUGAAAUCCGAGAUAGGAUCCAUGUAUGAAAACGAAGUAUGGACUUUGACUGACUUGCCCGUAGAACGGCGAGCCAUAGAAAAUAAAUGGAUCUUUAAGAAGAAGACAGACGCGGAUGGUAAUGUGACCAUCUAUAAAGCUCGGCUUGUCGCUAAGGGUUAUCGACAAGUUCAAGGGGUUGAUUACGAUGAGACUUUCUCACCGGUAGCGAAGCUGAAGUCCGUCGGAAUCAUGUUAGCAAUUGCCGCAUUUUAUGAUUAUGAAAUUUGGCAAAUGGACGUCAAAACGGCAUUCCUUAAUGGUUUCCUUAAGGAAGAAUUGUAUAUGAUGCAGCCGGAAGGUUUUGUCGAUCCUAAAAAUGCUGACAAGGUGUGCAAGCUCCAACGCUCGAUUUAUGGGCUGGUGCAAGCAUCUCGGAGUUGGAACAUUCGUUUUGAUGAGAUGAUCAAAGCGUUUGGGUUUACACAGACUUAUGGAGAAGCCUGUGUUUACAAGAAAGUGAGUGGGAGCUCUAUAGCAUUUCUCAUACUAUAUGUAGAUGACAUACUUUUGAUGGGAAAUGAUAUAGAACUUUUGGACAGCAUUAAGGCCUACUUGAAUAAGAGUUUUUCAAUGAAGGACCUUGGAGAAGCUGCUUAUAUAUUAGGCAUCAAGAUCUAUAGGGAUAGAUCAAGACGCCUCAUAGGUCUUUCACAAAGCACAUAUCUUGAUAAGAUUUUGAAGAAGUUCAAAAAUGGAUCAGUCCAAGAAAGGGUUCUUGCCUGUUUUGCAAGGUGUGAAAUUGAGCUCAGCUCAAUGUCCGACCACGGCAGCAGAGAUAGAAGAGAUGAGUGUCAUCCCCUAUGCCUCAGCCAUAGGUUCUAUUAUGUAUGCCAUGCUGUGUACCAGACCUGAUGUAAACCUUGCCGUAAGUUUGGUAGGAAGGUACCAAAGUAAUCCCGGCAAGGAACACUGGACAGCGGUCAAGAAUAUCCUGAAGUACCUGAAAAGGACUAAGGAAAUGUUUCUCGUUUAUGGAGGUGACGAAGAGCUCGUCGUAAAAGGUUACGUCGACGCUAGCUUCGACACAGAUCUGGAUGACUCUAAGUCACAAACCGGAUACGUGUAUAUUUUGAAUGGUGGGGCAGUAAGCUGGUGCAGUUGCAAGCAGAGCGUCGUGGCGGGAUCUACAUGUGAAGCGGAGUACAUGGCAGCCUCGGAGGCAGCACAUGAAGCAAUAUGGGUGAAGGAGUUCAUCACCGACCUAGGAGUCAUACCCAAUGCGUCGGGGCCGAUCAAGCUCUUCUAUGACAACACUGGAGCUAUUGCACUUGCCAAGGAGCCCAGGUUUCACAAGAAGACAAGGCACAUCAAGCGUCGCUUCAACUCCAUCCGUGAAAAUGUUCAAGAUGGAGACAUAGAGAUUUGUAAAGUACAUACGGACCUGAAUGUAGCAGAUCCGUUGACUAAACCUCUCCCAAGAGCAAAACAUGAUCAACACCAGAAUUCCAUGGGUGUUCGAUUCAUCACAAUGUAACUAGAUUAUUGACUCUAGUGCAAGUGGGAGACUGUUGGAAAUAUGCCCUAGAGGCAAUAAUAAAAUCAUUAUUAUUAUAUUUCUUUGUUCAUGAUAAUUGUCUUUAUUCAUGCUAUAAUUGUGUUAUCCGGAAAUCGUAAUACAUGUGUGAAUAACAGACACCAACAUGUCCCUAGUAAGCCUCUAGUUGACUAGCUCGUUGAUCAAUAGAUAGUCAUGGUUUCCUGGCUAUGGACAUUGGAUGUCAUUGAUAACGGGAUCACAUCAUUAGGAUAAUGAUGUGAUGGACAAGACCCAAUCCUAAACAUAGCACAAGAUCGUAUAGUUCGUUUGCUAAAGUUUUUGCAAUGUCAAAGUAUCUCUUCCUUCGACCAUGAGAUCGUAUAACUCCUGGAUGCCGUAGGAGUGCUUUGGGUGUAUCAAACGUCACAACGUAACUGGGUGACUAUAAAGGUGCACUACAGGUAUCUCCGAAAGUAUCUAUUGUUUUAUAUGGAUCGAGACUGGGAUUUGUCACUCCGUAUGACGGAGAGAUAUCACUGGGCCCACUCAGUAAUGCAUCAUCAUAAUGAGCUCAAAGUGACCAAGUGUUUGGUCACGGGAUCAUGCAUUACGGUACGAGUAAAGUGACUUGCCGGUAACAAGAUUGAACGAGGUAUUGGGAUACCGACGAUCGAAUCUCGGGCAAGUAACAUAUCAAUUGACAAAGGGAAUUGCAUACGGGGUUGAUUAAAUCCUCGACAUCGUGGUUCAUCCGAUGAGAUCAUCGUGGAGCAUGUGGGAGCCAACAUGGGUAUCCAGAUCCCGCUGUUGGUUAUUGACCGGAGAGCGAUCUCGGUCAUGUCUACAUGUCUCCCGAACCCGUAGGGUCUACACACUUAAGGUUCAGUUACACUAGGGUUGUAGGGAUAUGUAUAUGCAGUAACCCGAAUGUUGUUCGGAGUCCCGGAUGAGAUCCCGGACAUCACGAGGAGUUCCGGAAUGGUCCGGAGGUAAAGAUUUAUAUAUGGGAAGUCCUGUUUCGGGCAUCGGGACAAGUUUCGGGGUUAUCGGUAUUGUACCGGGACCACCGGAGGGGUCCCGGGGGCCCACCGGGUGGGGCCACCCAUCCCCGGGGGCCACAUGGGCUGUAGGGGGUGCGCCUUGGCCUGCUUGGGCCAAGGGCACCAGCCCACAUAGGCCCAUGCGCCUAGGGUUUAAGGGGGAAAGAGUCCUAGGAGGGUAAGGCACCUCCUAGGUGCCUUGGGGGGGAGGGAAACCCCCCUUGGCCGCCGCACCCCCUAGGAGAUUGGAUCUCCUAGGGCCGGCCACCCCCCCCUUGGCACCCCUAUAUAUAGUGGGGGAGAGGAGGGACUUCAUACCUUGAGUCCUUGGCCUUUGGUUGCCUCCUUCUCCCUCCCCAACACCUCCUCCACCUCCUUAUUGCUUAGCGAAGCUCUGCCGGAGUACUGCAGCUCCAUCAACACCACGCCGUCGUGCUGCUGCUGGUGCCAUCUCCCUCAACCUCUCCUCCCUCCCUUGCUGGAUCAAGAAGGAGGAGACGUGGCUGUUUCCGUACGUGUGUUGAACGCGGAGGUGCCGUCCGUUCGGUGCUAGGAUCUCCGGUGAUUCGAAUCACGUCGUGUUCGACUACAUCAUCCCCGUUCUUUGAACGCUUCCGCUCGCGAUCUACAAGGUAUGUAGAUGCAUCUAUUCACUCGUUGCUAGAUGAACUCCUAGAUGAUCUUGGUGAAACGAGUAGGAAAUUUUUUAUUUUCUGCAACGUUCCCCAACACACCCUACAGCGGGAAUCUCUCACGCUUGCGCGACACGGAGGGCACCAUAGGACAUCACCAAAAUAAAACAUACAACUCAUACCAAUCUAGACCAUCAAUCAACCCAAGGACAAAAGAUAUCUACUCAAAACAUCAUAGGAUGGCAACACAUCAUUGAAUCAUAAUAUGCGGCAUAAAGCCCCAUGUUCAAGUAGGGAUUACAGCGGGGUACGGGAGAGUGGACCGCGUAAAAGAGAUGAGGAUGGUGAUGAUGAUGGUGAUGUUGAUGAACACAAUCACCGGCGAUGAUUCCCCUCCCGAUGGCACUCGGUGCCACCAAGAGAGAGGAGGAGAGGUUCUCCCCCUUGUGCUUCCUCCUCCAUGGCUUUCCCCCUCUGGUCCUUGGCCUUCAUGACGAUGAUGGCCCCUCCGAGAUCCUCCUCCAUGGCCUCCGGUGAUGAUGGACCCCUCCGGCAGGGUGCCGGAGAGGGCCUAAAUUUAUUUCUCGUGGCUACAGAGGCUUGCGGCGGCGGAACUUCCGAUCUAGGUUAAUUCCCAAAGGUUUCUGUAUUUAUAGGAAUUUUUGGCGUUGGUUUCACGUCAGGGGGGUCUCCGGGAUGUCCACGAGAUAGGGGGGCGCGCCCUAGGGGGGUGGGCGCACCCCCCACUCUCGUGGGAAGCUCGGGACUCUUUUGGCCCAACUCCGAUGCUCCGUGGUCUUCUUUUGGUCCAUAAAAUAUCGUCAAAAAUUGGCACGUCAAUUGGACUCAUUUGGUAUUCCUUUUCCGUAAAAAUCAAAAACAAGGAGAAAACAGAAUCUGGCACUGGGCUCUAAGUUAAUAGGUUAGUCCCAAAAAUCAUAUAAAAUGGCAUAUAAAUGCAUAUAAAACAUCAUAGAUGGAUAAUAUAAUAGCAUGAAUACUUCAUAAAUUAUAGAUACGUUGGAGACGUAUCAGAUAACAGAGACACCCGAAAAUGCGGAGACCAUCAUAAGACGAUGGUGUACCGAAGAGAAGGUGGUGAGGGGCGUAGUUCCACCGAGGGCGACACGGAUGAAUGUUAACUAAGAGAGUGGCGGUAGCGAGGGUAUCGGGCCAAAACCGAGCAGGCACGUUAGAGUGAAAGAGUAACGUGCGAACGCAAUCAUUAAGAGUGCGGAGAAUGCGCUCGGCGUGGCCGUUCUGCUGAGAAGUGUAGGGGCAAGUCAGACGGAAGGUGGUGCCAUGAGAGGCGAGAAGUGUGCGAAAAGCGACGUUGUCAAACUCUUUUCCGUUAUCAGUUUGGAGUGUGAGUAUGGGACGACCGAACUGGGUGGUAACAUAGGAAUAAAGGCGAUGAGGGUGGCUAAAGUAUCAGAUUUACGACGAAGGGGAAAAGUCCACACAUAAUGAGAAUAAUCAUCUAAAAUCACCAAGUAGUAUAGAUAGCCCGUGUUACUCGCAACAGUGAUGUUUUAAUUACUUCAUAGUGAUGUUUGCGAGUAACACGGGCUAUCGGGAUAGAGCUCAUCGGCACUGUCACAUCGGUGAAGGACCAUCCGGGUACGGGCGUCUUUCACAGAAUAGGUAAGGAGGAGCCAUUGCCGACGGUGACACGAGUGGGUGUGCGAACGGGAGUGGAGGAGGUUAGGUUACCGAGAUGAGCUGCCAUGUGCGCAGUAGCACCUGAGUUCAUGUACCAGUCGCCUCCACCGACAGAGCUACUCGGCGACAACGCGGAGUGCUGGGCGGCGAGGAGUGUGAGGUCCCGUGGCACAGGUAUCAACAGCGGCGGAAAGCCCCCAUAGGGCGGCACUGGGACGGGCGGGCCAUAACCACCGAUUGGCGGCGCAAGGAGGUCACGGUAGCCGGCGCCAGUCGGCUGGAAGGGCGCGCCGAUGAAUGCCUGGUGGCCAGCAGGGAGAGCCUGCUGAUAGUGUGGCGCCCCGCCGGCAUCCUGGGCCUGCUGUUGCUGCAGGCGGCGGCGACCGCCGCCAUGCCGAUUGCGUCGGCCCCCUCUCCCUUGCGGGUGCUGCGGGGAAGGCGCUGGUGACGACAACGGGUAACAUCCGACGGGUGCGGGAGGACGCGUCUGGAUCAACGCGGCCAGUGGAGUGGUUUCCACCGCAGAGGGUGAAGUAGCCCGGAGAGUCCAUGAAAGGCGCUAGAAGCUGCGGGAAGAGGAAGGAGGCGGCGACGGCACGUGGGAGCGCGCAGCGGCGGCGGUGGCGCGCACGAGGAGGCGCUGCGUGGCGGCGCAGUGGGGAGCGGAGGCGACGGCGGCNNNNNNNNNNNNNNNNNNNNNNNNNNNNNNNNNNNNNNNNNNNNNNNNNNNNNNNNNNNNNNNNNNNNNNNNNNNNNNNNNNNNNNNNNNNNNNNNNNNNNNNNNNNNNNNNNNNNNNNNNNNNNNNNNNNNNNNNNNNNNNNNNNNNNNNNNNNNNNNNNNNNNNNNNNNNNNNNNNNNNNNNNNNNNNNNNNNNNNNNNNNNNNNNNNNNNNNNNNNNNNNNNNNNNNNNNNNNNNNNNNNNNNNNNNNNNNNNNNNNNNNNNNNNNNNNNNNNNNNNNNNNNNNNNNNNNNNNNNNNNNNNNNNNNNNNNNNNNNNNNNNNNNNNNNNNNNNNNNNNNNNNNNNNNNNNNNNNNNNNNNNNNNNNNNNNNNNNNNNNNNNNNNNNNNNNNNNNNNNNNNNNNNNNNNNNNNNNNNNNNNNNNNNNNNNNNNNNNNNNNNNNNNGAUGCUGCGGCGUGAUGCAGCAGCUGUAGCGGGCCGGGAUGAAAAACAGAGCGGCGCGGGGGCGGUGGGCUAGCGAAGCGCGGGCGCGGUGGCAACUGGCUAGCGAAGCUAGCUAGCUAGCGAGGCCGUCAACGCGGUCCUGAUGGCUAGCGAAGCUAGCUAGCUGAUGGCUAGCGAGGCUAGCUAGCUAUCCAGGCAGCCAGUAGCGGGACGAGGCGUGUGCGUGGGAGGGCGGAAGCGAGGCACAGCGGCGGCGGCGUGUGGAGGCAGGGGGUGGAGGGGCGCAGCGGCGGCAGGUGCGGAGGUGGGGUGCGGCGGCGGCCGUGGAGGCGCGCCGCCGGCGGCGGCUACCCUAGGGUUAGACCAAAAAAGAUGAUACCAUGUAGACAGAUGAUUUGCAAUACGAUAACUUGGGGUGCUGGUGCACGCAUAUAUAAUACAAGGGAAGGCCUCUGCCUCAACUAUACAAGACUAGGAGGUGGGCCACAACUCCAAUACGCGUGCAGUAUAAAAUACAUACUCAAUACAAUGAUAAUCACGGGCAGCAGGGUUUACGUCGCACUAGGUAGGGGGUAGACGAAAGAUGAAUUUGCAUCAACCAUCAACCCAUAUAUUUGUUUUUGUUUUUUUGGGGAAAUCCAUAUAGUAGUAUUUGUUGGAGAACGAAAUCGAAAGAUUCCUUAAAAUUGAAAAAAAAAACUAGAUAAUUAUGCAGAUUUGUGCGAGGCGCUGUUAUCAAAUUCCACAGCUUGCACAAAAAAGAAGAAGAGGAAAACGGUUUACAGAUUGCGGUCUAUUACUAUCCUAUCUAAACGAUCCAGAUUGAUACACCUCUCCUGUCAAAAAAGGAUUGGUAUACCUCCACGUUUUAUUUUAUCUUUAUUAAUUAGCAAACGAUGUAAGUGUGAUUUAAGUUAAUAAAGCUGGUCAUGAAGGCCUUUUCAUUAAAAAGACGAUCCACGUUGAUACUCGGUGCUUUUGCCAUUUUACGUAACCUCGGAGUACGUUUUAGCGCGAGCAAGCUAGCUAGAUGGGACGAAGCUUGCCUGCUCCCGAACCGUCCUCCCAUCGGUGCUCCCGUCAAAUCCAACGACGCACAGCCUAACCACCGUUUCCCCCAAAUUAAAAACCAACAACGUUGGCCCACUCCCCCCUCCGUUUCUGUAAUAAAGAAAAAAAAACGGCAAAAACCGGGUGCUCUAUCUCUUUCUACCCUCCUGCUCUUUCGAUGAAAAAAAUGGAUUUGACCAGACAGCUGCGAGUGAACUCCAUGGCGUGCAUUGAGACGAGUACGUAGAGGACGACAUGAAUAGCGAGGUUGAGAAAUGAGAAUUGAGAUGGUUAUAGCUUCGACGACUCCGGCGAGGACGAGACUAGGAGCCCCAGAGCACAUGGAGCCGCUUGUGCAAGCCCGCCGGCGCAGGUAUGAUGUCGGCGUACGCGCGGCGCUCGUACACCGGCGCCCGUAGUCUUCGUAGCUGUCUACUCGCGUUGGACACGAAAACGGGUAGAGACAUAUGGUGCACAUCGUGCUCCCUGUCGCAUGCGUCGUCGGGGAACGACAAGCACUCUAGCACGGCCUCCGUGUUCUUCGUCCUCGCACGGUUGUCUCCAUGGUGCCACUGGCGGCCGGUUCGGCAAUGACUAUGGUCAUGUGGAUGCCGCCGAACCGAGGCGGAGGGGCAGCUCCGCGACCAUACGAGCUACAGAUCGACGUGGGCAAUUGGCCGUCCGUAGACGAGGAGCGUCGCCGAAAGAUGAAGACGGCGCGAGGCAUGGACAGCAGGCGGAGCGCCCGGUUUUGUUGGUUUAUACCUUCACGGGAAACAAAGGGAGUGGCGGGGAACGAUGCUGGUUUUUUUUUUCGGGGCAAAGGAAGGCCGGGCUGUGCGUCGUUGGAUUAGACGGGAGCAGGGAUGGGAGCACGGCUCGGGAGCAGGCAAGCCUCAUCCAGCUAGAUGACUACGAGUCUACGACGAUUAUGCUUAAAGGUUAAUACUGAGAGACGAUGACUUGUCACCCGGUGCAACCAAACGUGCAUUUGACUAGCUAGCUGGGUGCAUGCGCGUACAAGGUCGAUCGAUCCUUCCCGAUAUCUGGUUCCAGACGAGUUUGCCUCGUUCGGUUUCGCGGCGUCCAGAUUUUCCACCGGCCGGAUGUGUGGCUCGCGGCCUCGCAUCGCCGUAACCUACGGGACACUUCGCUCGUCUUCUUCCACGGCGAUCACACACCGGUACGUCCACCACCUGGCAUGCACGGACGGGUGGGCCCUCUCGGAAGACUCUCACGCUACGGAUCGGGUCCAGAUUGUCCGCGAGAUUUUUCCCUGCCAAGGAUUGAGAGAGCACCACAUGAUAGAUUUGGGAGCGUGAGUGUGUGUGUGUGUGCCCGGUGUCGUGGAAUGCGCACCACGAUAAAAGGCUUCUUUUCUUUUAGCUUUCGUUCCCGGCCACUGGUUUUGGAGGGUCCUAGUUUAGAUUCUGAUCUUGUCUCGCAAUACAUGGUCUUGAAUGGCCAUGAUUUUUCUCUCUCUGUCUCCCACAGAAAACAAAGAAAUUGCAUUUAUAUACACCACGGCAAACUCAUCAAAGUGAUCGAUGAGUGCCGUCGCCAACAGGCAGGCUGCCUGAGAUCGAAGGCGCCGGAGCUGUCAGAACUGGCAAGGGAGCAAGGCGAUGGACCCGCUGCCCCCUGGUCGAUCAUCUUGUACGUAAAAAAUGCCUCGCCUAGCUAGGUCCUAUUUUGAUUGAGUGUAGUAAACUCCAUGUCCUCGUUAAUUUAGCGGCGAUAUUCCACGUAUGGUCAGUACAAGAAACAGGAAGGGCCCGGGGCACGACUCAGUGGCUCACUCCUCUCCUCUCCUCUCGAUUUGGUCAACUUGAUCCACCAGUUGAGCGCAAAAUAAAGCUGAUGAUUACAUGUCCACCAGCAUCAUGUGGCGCACCAUGGGUUGACAAUUCCCUCCCACCAUAGAGAAAUGGCACAUGCAGGACCAUAAUAUUCCCCUCACGUCGCGGCCGUCCGGCGCCACGGAACGGUCAGAAAAUCUGGACCUGACCGCGUCGAUCCCACCGUAGUACCGGUCAGGCAGCUGGACCGCGCCACACGGCGUGUCUCCCCGUCAAAGCUGGAGGGCCACCACGGUCUGCCCCCACAUGGAACACACGGCCAUGCCGUCUAUCUAGAAUCGAACGCCAUCAUCUCCGGGGGCCGUUUCGGUCCCAAGAGGAGAGCGCGGCCGGCGCGGAGCUAUGCAGCCAGCCGCGUCCUUGACAUGUACUGCCACCAUACGGACGGAUGGAUACAGCUAUAGCUAGCAGCGCGUGAAAAACUCUUCGGUUCCGCGCGCACCCGCCCGGGGACGCCGGGGACGCGAGCUAGUGCGGUCGGUUGGUGAAACGGCGCCGCGAUCACGGGAGAAUCGAUCCCCUCCGCCCGCGCCACGCGCCGACCGACACCGCCUUUUAGGCUGGCCGCUGUAGGGUAGAGCUGGGAAUUCCGGUAGAGCUGCUAGCUAGCUUCCCGGUGCAUGUAAUGUAAGCUCGACCGUAUGACACGAAACGUAUCGGCGUGGGCUCGAGGCGAGGCCUCGACACGUCUCGUGCGUGUCGUGCAUGCGCAUGCCGUGUGUGAGGAGUGCAGGGGACUACCACCUAGUGCUACGACGCAUUUAAGUCUUUGGGUCGGUUGUCCUGGCCUCGCCCGGGAACAGGGAAGGGGCGGCGGGAUCGGGUGAAGCCUGCUUGCCGGGCAGGAGCGCGCGGCCGACGCAAGCGUGCCGGCCGGUGCCGCUUGCGCUUGGGUUGGUUAUCACUCGCUUACUCGUGGGGGAUGGGGCUUACGUCUGGCGAUGAGCACGCUAUGCUUGUGCAAGUUUCUGGCGAGUGCACAUGACGCCUGCUUCUGUUAUCCCAUGUGGCCUAGCCUGUUUUCCAAAGGGAAAGAAUGCACCUGGCACGGAGAAAUACACACAGCAGCACAAUUUGCUUGGGAUAAAACAUAUCCUUAUUUUUGUGUACUCCGUGGUUGUUGGAGAAGAGAGGUUGUAUGUGAGGGCCUACCGCCUCGAGCUUGGCAAACUGUUUUGGAAGCAAGCUUGAUCUAGACUAGCUAGGGGUCGACCACCCUGCAACUGUGCGGAGUCGGCGCCCUAGCUGCUAGCAAAUUCUUCUUCCCGGAGCAGAGCACGGCACGCAUGAGUAGUGUCCUGUCCUUGGCUAAAGUCAGGGGAGAGCAUCGAUCAUGGGAACCGCGCGCGGAAUAGUUGGAAGGGAAGCGUCGGUCGCGCGCCGGGUUACAAUCGGCGCCAUUUGUUUAUGGGGCGCCACAGCCACUUGGCGCCUCGCUUUGCUUGAUGACAACAAUAAGGGCCUGUUUGGUUUCAAAUAAGUCAUCAACUUAUAAGUCGAAAAGUGAAAAAAAAUGACUUAUUUUGUCAAACAGACCCGACUUAUAAGUCACCCCAACUUAUAAGUCAUAAGUUGCUUCACCCCAACUUAAAACUUAUAAGUCACCUUCUUUUGUGUGAGUUUCAUCAUCUACAUGAUGUUGAUUGAUGUAGAAAGAUGUGUCAGGUAAUUUAUAAGCCAGAUGACAAUCAAACAGGCGUGACUUAUAAGUCACUGGUUUUAAGUCACCUGACUUAUAAGUCAGGUGAUUUAUUGAAACCAAACAGUCCCUAAUCUAUGCAGAGGUAUCCGGCGUUCCAGCUAGCUAGGAGCAGACCGCUGCAAGUCCACGGCAGGUAUGCCAGUUGGGGCGAAACCGCGACGAUGACCCAAAUCACACGGAUCCAUCAAGGCCAAGCCAUGGGGCUGGGGAGUUUGGCUUCUGGACGUCUGUAGAGGCCAGACCACAAGACGCUUUCAGUACGUACGUAGGUAUCAGCGUACGCAUCUCUGGCUACCCCGGCCCUUCGAAAUCGAAACAUGUACAAGCUCGACUCUUCCACACGAUAUGAUCUCCAUUUGGUUGUUUCGAAUCCCUCGGUCAACUUUUGAAAAGAUCUUUCUUGGUGUAUUCACAUAUCUAGUGGGCAGCGUUGAUUAUUUCGGCCACGGCAACGUCGAUCCCGUCAGAGAGGGCAGCUAGCACAUGUCAUAGUGCAUGUGAAUGACGUGGAAAGAAGAAAACAUACCCUUUUACGAAAAAAAAACUCCCUCUCCUCUCACCCAUCACCGCGAGCGGGGAGGCAAACCCUAGCGCCUCCACACCCUACCUCCCCCGCUUCCCUCCUAUGUUAAAAAAGGCUUUCGCCCCGCUUUAUAAAUAAAGCAAACCGCCAAAGAGCACAUACAGAGUCAAGUCCACACACACACCCAAGUCUCACAAUAAAGUACAGAGGUUCUGCUGAGGGCACAUCUCAACAAGCCCAGAAAAUAGAAAACAGAACACGCCGGACGAAGACAGCGCCUAGUCUGGUUCCGGCGGCGGCGGCGGGGGCGGCGGCGACAGACGGACAACCAUCGAGCGAAGGUCGGCGAUGAAGGCUGAAAUGACGUCGCGGUCCAGGGGGCGGCUAAGCGGCCGCCAAAGCUGCAAGAAACCCGAGAGUUUGAAAAGAGCGUCAAUAGCCCGUCGAAGAGGAGUGCGCUGAAUCACAAGCUUAUUGCGGAUAGUCCAGAGGGUCCAGACGAAGACCCCAAUCUCAAGCCACCUAAUGUGGCGAGAAGUCGCGGGGGACAGCUGGAGUUCGGCAAAUAAGUCAGGGAAGUUGGUGUGGCACCAAUUUCCACCGACCGCUUCGCGAAAGCAGCUCCAGAGGAAUUGAGCGGACACGCAGGAGAAGAAAAUGAGGUUCGAGUCUUCGGGGACCCCACAGAGUGAGCAGAUGCCAAUACCCGGGCCAUUUCACUUGCGCACCUCCACCCCGGACGGGACCCGACUGCGAAUCCAUUGCCACAUGAAGAUACGGAUCUUCAGGGGCAGGCGGAUGGACCACACCAUCGAUAGGGGGAGGGGGGCGGAAGAUGGAGCGAUGGCCAGGUACAACGACUUGGUGGAGAAUUGGCCCAAAGGCUCAAGGCUCCAGCGCACGAGGUCAGGGCCACCAUCCACCAUCGGUUAGUGGAGAGCAACACAGUCAAGAAACUCACGCCAGGCGGCGGAUUCCAAGGGACCAAAAGGCCGUCGGAAAGCAAGGCGCCCUAAGUCAAGAAGGGCCCUAUCAACAGAAAUCACGGGAUCGACGGAGAUGGAGAAGAGGCCGGGAAAGCGAGCCGCAAAGGGAGUGUUCCCGGCCCAGCGAUCAAACCAGAACAACGUCGCUGCUCCGGAGCCCACCGAGAUGGAGGUUCCGAUACGGAGGACCGGGAGAAGCUGGACAAUCGACUGCCAGAACUGAGAUCCGCCAGACUUCUGGCAGAAGGCGAGGGGCUGUCUGCGCAAUUAUUUGUUCCGGAUGAUGUCAAGCCAAAGGCCACCGUGCCCUUGCGAGAUGCACCAAAGCCAGCGGGAGAGAAUGGCGAUAUUCAUCCGUUUAGAGCACAUGAUGCCAAGGCCACCUUGCUCCCUGGGCUUGCAGAUGCCAGGCCAUCUGACCAUAUGAUACUUCUGCUUGUCGUUGUUGCCCGCCCAGUAAAAGCGGGACUGGACCUUGGCGAUCUCAUGGUGAAGGGUCUCGUGGAGACUGUAGAAGCUCAUGAGAAACAAUAGGAGGCUGGAGAGGGAAGAGUUGAUGAGAAUAGUCCGGGCCGCCUUGGACAGCCACCUCCCCUGACAGGCCUCGAUGCAUGUUUGGAGCUUGGCCACGGAGGGGCGCAAGUCCGUGACAGUUAGCCGGGAGUCACUAAUGGGCGUCCCCAGGUAGGCAGUAGGGAAGGAGCCCAGGCGGCAAUUAAGUCUGUUGGCGAUGGCCAACGACUCCGAUGGGGAGUAUCCCAUCACCAUAACAUCACUCUUGUCGAAGUUGAUCUCGAGGCCCGACAUCUGUUGGAAGCAGAGAAGGAGGAACUUGAGGUUGGAGAUGUCCGUCUCCGAGCCUUCGACCAUGAUGAUAGUGUCGUCAACAUACUGGAGGAUGGAGAUCCCGGAGCCACCGGCAAGGUGGGGAGUAAUCCCACGAAUAUGGCCAGCGGCUUUCGCCUUAUCCAGAAUGGAGGCAAACGCGUCCACGACCAUAUUGAACAAGAACGGGGAGAAGGGGUCGCCUUGUCGAACCCCACAAAGGGUGGGGAAGAAAGGGCCAAUCUCACCGUUAAUGUUCACGGCCGUGCGACCGCAAGAUACCAUUUGCAUGACUCUAGUGAUCCACCGGUCGUCGAAGGCCUUUCGAAGAAGGACUUCCCGGAGGAAGGGCCAGCUAACCGUAUCGUAGGCCUUGUGGAAGUCAAUCUUCAGCAAAACAGCCUUGAGGUGUUUGGCGCGGACCUCAUGAAGGACUUCAUGAAGGACAAGGACCCCAUCCAGGAUGUAACGACUGAGGGAGUCCUAGAUUAGGGGGUGUCCGGAUAGCCGAACUAUCACCAUCGGCCGGACUCCAAGACUAUGAAGAUACAAGAUUGAAGACUUCGUCCCGUGUCCGGAUGGGACUUUCCUUGGCGUGGAAGGCAAGCUUGGCGAUACGGAUAUGUAGAUCUCCUACCAUUGUAACCGACUCUGUGUAACCCUAGCCCUCUUCGGUGUCUAUAUAAACCGGAUGGCUUUAGUCCGUAGGACGAACAACAAUCAUACCAUAGGCUAGCUUCUAGGGUUUAGCCUCCUUGAUCUCGUGGUAGAUCUACUCUUGUAACACACAUCAUCAAUAUUAAUCAAGCAGGACGUAGGGUUUUACCUCCAUCAAGAGGGCCCGAACCUGGGUAAAACAUCAUGUCCCUUGUCUCCUGUUACCAUCCGCCUGGACGCACAGUUCGGGACCCCCCUACCCGAGAUCCGCCGAUUUUAACAUCGACAACGACCAUUAAUGAAGGCCGACUGGUUGGGGUGAGUCACACGGUCCGCCAGCAGGGUCACCCUAUUGGCGUACCCUUUGGCCAGGAUCCGGAAAAUCACAUUAAUGACCGUGAUUGGGCGAAAAUGACGAAUGUCGGACGCCCCAGGGACCUUGGGGAUGAGAGAGAUGAUCCCAUAGUUGAGACGCCCGAGAUCAAUGGAGCCAACGUAGAACUCGUCGAAUAAAGCCAUGACCUCAGGUUUAAUCACGUUCUAGAAGGUCUGGAAAAAUUUAACCGGGAGGCCAUCCGGUCUCGGCGCCGAGGAUGGGUUCAUGCCCUUGAUGGCAUCCCACACCUCUUGCUCGGAGAAGGGGGCCGUAAGGGCCGUGUUCUCCGAAACGGACACCAACUGGGAACCAGACCAACAAUCGGGGGUGAGAGAGAUGCCGCUUCUAGGGGCGGCAGAGAAUAAGGAUCUAUAGAAACCCCGACGUGGGACCGGAUGUUGCUGGGGUCUUGAAGGAGGGUCUCACCGUCCCACAAGAGAGGCAUGGUGUUGCGUAUAUGGCGGCUGUUGGCGAUGGCCUGGAAGUAUGCCGUAUUCGCGUCGCCUUUCAAGACCCAUUUCUGGGCACCACGGAGGCGCCAAUAGGCCUCCUCAUUGGUGUAGAUCACGGAGAGCUAGUCUUCCAGGUCAUAACGGGAGAGCCACUCGUCCGGAGAAAGACCCACCUUGUCGGCACGCAGGUCAAGGGCUUGGAUCACGGAUAAGAACGCCUUCUUGCACUCAUGGAGGUCACGACCUAGAUUAGCACCCCACCCCUUCAUGAACUGCCGACCGUGUUUCACGCAGAAGUGCCACGAAUCAAUGGCCGAAGGGGGGCGGGUGUGGGGGUGGGCGCGAGCCUCGAUCCACCGAGCGCCAACGACGUCGAUAAACCUAGUCUGGGAGAGCCAGAAGGUCUCAAACCAGAAUUGAGGGGUGACCGACGGACGUUUGUCAGCAGAAGAGAGGAGAAGGGGUACAUGAUCCGAGCCAAUCGUCGUGAUGGCGUGAAGGGAGGCUAAGGGGCAGCGGAGGUCCCAAUUCAGGGACACUAGGACCCGGUCCAGGACAGACUAGGUCGAGGAGGCUUGCCGGUUGGUCCAGGUGAACCUGGCACCAAUCCUAUCGAUCUCGCGGAGACCGAGGUCAGCAAUGAAGUCAUUGAACAUUUGCAUCCGCGCAAAGCAGACAUUAUCAUUGCUCUUGUCUUCCGCCAUGCGCAGGAGGUUAAAAUCGCCUCCCACCACCACCGGAAGGGAGGCUGCGGAGAUCUUCCAGUGGAGCUCCUCGAGGAAGGCAGCCAACCGACUAUGGUUAGCAGGCCCGUAGACGAUGAUGACCUCCCACUUGAAGUUGAGAGACCUCUCGAACAGCUCCAUGCUCACAAAGAAUUCCCCUUGAUCCAUGCUACCCACCUCAAAGGUGGCAUCCUUCACGCCUAAAAGGAUGCCACCCGAGUGGUCGGCGCUCCCACUAGAAGGGAGCCAAUGCCACACAAAGAGGUGGGAGCUCAGACGGUCAAGCUCAGGGAGCGAGAAUUCGAGACGCAUGGUUUCUUGAAUGGCAACUAUGUCGAUGUGUCCCUCCCGCAUGUACUCCACAAGUUGGCGGCGUCGGCCAUCAUGGCCAAAACCACGGAUGUUCCAGAAUAAUGCACACAUUAAGGUGCCAUUGGGGGGCUGCUUGACCCCCAGACACGAGAGGCGCUUUGAGCACGGAGGGCCGCGGUGCGGGAGCGAGUGCGACCACGGAUCUCCUCCCCCACCGACAGGGGGGGGGGGUGGAGCCGUCAGCCAUGACGCGGUCGGGGGAGGGGUCUCACCAGCCGCAGGCGGGACGGGUGGCAAAAGGAAGGCCGCACGGGCCUCCGCUAGCCUCCCGUCAAGAAUCUCGUGAGCUCUAAUAGCCGCGAUCUAGAUUAAGGAGGGGUCCUGCUUCCCUCCUAAAAAUGAUUGCGGAGUCAGAGGCAACCUUUGCGAGGUUGCCUAGAGGAAUGGACUCAAGCGCAGAGAAGGAACAAGACGAAGCUGAAGGGGGAACGUAAGGCGUACUGGCUCCAGGUUCUGAGCAGCAGCGCGGAGCUCCGCCCGCUCGGGGAUGGGCAGAGUCGGACUGCCCUCGGGGUGAGCAGCAUCCAGCCGAGCACUCCGACGGGAUGCAAUCACCGAGGAGGAGUCCGACCGGCCGCGGCGAGAGUAGGCGGCGGACCGUGGAGGAGGGGGCUGGGCAGCCAUGGGGGUGGUCACCCUAGCCUCCCCGUCCAUGGCCGGGGCCUCCGCGGGUGACGCUAGAGGCGCGGGCACGAAGCAGCUGAGGAGGAGCGGAGCCGGGGACGGAGUCGCGGAUGAGAGUAGCAUCGGUGGAGGAGGACCGCACAGCCCGCGGUUGCGGCCGCCCGCGGGAGCGUCGGAGGAGGCGCCUCGGGCGGGGUGGGUUGAGCGACCGUGGGAGGCGAAGCCGGAGGGGGGGGGAGUCUGCCACAGGCGGCUCAUCCCCCUCAGGAGGGGCCAUCGAGGCCGCCAGAAGCAGAUUGGGAGCUGGAGCCCCCGGGUCCAGCGCGACAGGCGCAAAUGAGGAAGGGGAGCACGGUGAAGAUGUCGGGCAGACGACCAGGCCAACGCUGGAGAUGUCACUCGCCUCAGAGAACGUCACCACAGAGUCUGAGGGACCGCCGAGGAGCAUGCUGGGGGCGGCCUGACGGCCCUUGCCCCCCGCGGCAGGAGGAGGAGGCGAAGGGGACGGGGAGCGGGAGUCCUCCGAGCCCCCCUCCUCAUCCAAGUGGUGGGAGCACGCACGGUGACGUCCGUGGUAGUCUCCAUUGGUCCCCGGGUUGCCGCCGGGGAGGCCAGCGUCAAAGGAGCGGAUGUGACCGACAUGGUUGGGGGGCUCGGGGGCGAUCCUGAGGUCGAAGCCCUGGUCGUUGAAGAAGACGCGAACGGUGGUGUUAAGCUUGGAGGAGUCGAGGCACUUGAACUUGACCCGGAGCUCCUCCUCCUUGCGCAGAGAGAGCUCAUCGACCACCACCACCUUGCCCAAGAGGCGGGACAUCUGGGGAUGACGAGCUCGGACCGCGCAAUAUCAGGGAGGCCGACAACAAGGAUCCAAGCGGUGUCGAGGACGGCCACGGCAUGAGCGUCCAGGAUCGGCUCGAAGAUGUUGACAACCAGCUGGUUGAGAGCGAGCGUGAUCCGGCCACUGCGCGUCGCAUAGCCGUAGCUGACAGAGUCGGGGAAGACGACGGUGAAGAUGUGGCCAGCAGAGGGGGUGACCACCCAGUCCCACUGGCUACGGUAGAGGUGGUUGAGCUCGGCCUCAAUCAUCUCCGGGGAUGCCACCCCGUCGACCACAUUGACGACCGCCUAGAGAGUGGGAGAGGGCGACGGGACGUCGGGGACCUCCAGGUGGAAGAAGCCCAACCCCUCGAUACUGUGGCCAUACAUCAUGAGCUCUGACACCACCGUUCUAUCCGGGCACAUGAGAGCGGGGUGGCCCGGAUCCUUGCAGAGGUAGUAGCAUUGGGGAUUGACACAGUUGACUUGUGAAUGCCCCCCACCCCCCCUAUUGAAACAGGGGGGCAAGGGAGACCAGAGACGGGCCCGGGCAUGGCGGAAGAUCCCAAGGCCACCAAGGGGGGCACGGGCGGAGCGCCGCAGGCACCCCGACGCUUCUUCUUCUUGGCCGGUCUCGCGCGGCCGCGAGCGGUGCCACCGCCCGAGGCAGGAACCGAAGCCGAGGCCGUGGGGGCGGAGGAAUGGGGCCGCACGUAGCAUCGGGGGGCACGGGCCGGAGGCUGCCCAUGGGCGUGGGGGGAGACAGUUCGCGAUGACCGGGGAGGGGAGGGCGAGCACCUAUGACGAGGGGGCGGGGAGGGGGAUCGCCGACGCGACCGCCAGUCCCCCGAGGCAGCCGGCCGAGGCGACCGAGAACGGCCCCGACCCUCCCGGCGAGCAGGCGAGCGGCGACCCUCCCGGAGCUCCCGGAGCUCACGCCGGAGCUCCUCCUCGGGCCGGAGGGCGUUUGGAGAUGGGCGGGAUCUACCGCGGUGGUCGUCGGCCUUGCGCUUGGAUCGGGCCACCCCAUCGUCCCAGUCGCGCGACAUGGGAAGCCGCAGCAGGGGAGGGGGAGGCAGGGGAGGUGGGGAAGGCGAGGGAGGCGGUGGUGGGCCAGUCGAACAGGACGAGGAGGAGGCUGAUGUCGAUGCAGGAGGGGACACGAUGGGAGGAAGAAGGGGACGAGUAGAGGCGGCGGCGCUGGGGAAAGGAGAACGCGGGAGGCCAUAGGGCAACCAGAUGGAUGGGGCCAGCGCCCUGGGCCUAGGGCAUCCCAGUGGCCCAACGCUAGUGGGCCGGCCCAGGGAGGAGGGGAGGUUAUCCGGCACGACAACACAACGGCCCAGCGGCCAGCGUGGGCCGGGGCCCAGCAGCCCAGGCGCACCAGCGGCCCGGUCCAGGCGACGGGAAGGCACGGGAGCCCGAAGGGUUUCCCUUCCAGGGGCGGGCGCCGCCGCCGCCGCCGGCGCGGCUCCGGCACAAGCAACCAAGGCUGUGGGAUCCCCACGGACCGAGAGGAACCGGAGGCUCGAGGACGCGAAGUCCGUGAUGAAGGGCCUAAAGGGGGAGGAGCACACGAACGGGAUCGGGGGAGAAUGAGCGAAGAGCGUCGCCGAGGGAGAUGGGGAGGCCACCGGCCGAUCCUCCGCCGCCGGGCGGCGCCAGGAGGAGCGGGCGGCACCCCGGUCGGAGCGGAUAGCCACGCCCCAGGAGCGCCCACGCCGGCGGCGCGCAGCCCCACCAGCCAAGCCCGCACCUUGGCGCUCCUCCGCCCGAGUUGAGCUCGAGGGCGUCGUCGGCGACGACUGCGCCGUUCGCGGGCCAGCAGCAGAACCCCUCACGCGGGGGGCUGAGCUGCCAGCCCGGCGCGGCUGCGCGGCGCGUCGGGGAGCGGCGGAGGGCGAGGGGGCUAGGACUGCGGCAGGGGGAAACGGCUCGUCGUCGGUGAAGUCGGCCCAACGGAUCCGAUGCGCGGAGGGCGUGGUAGCAGGAGCGGCAGGAGCGGAGGGGCGCGCCGCGGCCGUCGGAGCGGGGCACCCGCCGGAGGAGGGUGGCUAGGACGGAGGCAGAGGGUGCCACCGGCGACGGGUGCACGCCGUCGCAGGCGCUAGGAUUGCCAGAGCUAGGGAGCGCCAUCCUCAGAUUUCUUCAGUGACCCUGGUUGAUCCGCUCCCCUCCUAUGACGCCCCCGACUCAAUCGUGCACUAAUCAUAUAUAGAAAUGCGCACAAUUAAGAUCAAGGACUCACGGAAAGAUAUCACAACACAACUCUAGACAGAAAAUCAAACAUGAAUAUUUAUAUUACAAACUAGGGCUACGAAGACUCGAAUACAUAAGUCAGUGAAAGCAACAAUAUCUGACUGCACAUAUAAAGACAAAUUUGCCUUAAGAAGGCUUAUCAAAACAACGGCAUCUAGAUCGAAAAGGCGCAGGCCUCCUACCUGAGAGCCUCCUAUCUACUCCUAGUCGUCGGUCUCCACGUAGUAGUAGGCUCCGUCUGUAUAGUAGUAGCCAUCGACAGGAUCAGUUGUCUCCUAGGCUCCGUCAUCUAAUCGCAGCAAUCGGGUAAAGUGGAAAAGAUAACAAAGCAACCGUGAGUACUCAUCCAAAGUACUCGCAAGACUUACAUCAGAUACAUGCUAAGUAUGAAUCAGUAUCAAAGGGAAGGGGCUGUAUUUGUAGACUAUAAUGCAGAAAUACCACAAUAGAAGGGAAGGCCUAGCCUAUCGAAGACUAGCAUCUUGCAGCAACAAAAGAGACUAGAGUAACUUAACAUAUAAUAACAAGUAUAUAUUAGCAAUGCCCAGAGAUCCUUCCUCGGCUCCCUGCAAGGAAGCGAUCCCGGAGCCAUCAUAUCAUUUUAGUUAUCCAGUUCUAGUUGUAGUAGAUCGGGAUACAACUUUGAGCGUCCGUUGCCGUGGACAUGACUAUUAGAAUAUAUAUACUUCCCUGCAGGGGUGCACCAACUUACCGAACACGCUCGAUUAACUUUGGCCGGACACACUUUUUUGUGUCAUGCCCGGCCUCGUGAUCGACGCUCUGUAGUCCUACCUAGGCUCAAUAGAGUGGUCGACACACCGGUCUACAUCCUAAGUGUGAAGGGGUCAUGGGUCAAUCAUCCUAAGCACUCCUACGCAUUGCGUACGCGACCUAGAGCAGACUCAUAUACAAGCGCGGGCAGUUACCGUCCAACCGGGCACGCGACGCUCAACUGCGUCCGAAGAGCUUUCGGGGGAAUCAUACGACGCUGAGUGCCCAUAACUUAUCCCGUGUGGUGGUUAGUAUGAAAAGGCCAGAGACCUACUCAGAUCGCAUAUCCAACCCAUAGUGUAUUGGGGGCUCGCGGAGACGAUCAGUGAUCCUGUCGCCCCGUCUUGCGGACUUACGACAAGGGCUAGGUCCAUCCCUCUCUAGGCGGUCUCUGCCUGGGCGGUCAUGCCACAUCAUUAUCUCGCGGGUACCCUCAUGGUCAACUCGACUUCAAUAACUCUCGCGGGUACCCCUUGGGUCGACCUGACUUCAACAAGGACUGAGGUGAAGGUCAAACUAUCUGUGUUUCCAUAACAUCAAGGGUGAGGAAUCGCCCUCGAUGGAUUCUCACUCGAUGUAACCGUCAAGGUGGCCUUGGAGGAAUCACCCUCGAAGGGUUCACACUUGAGGUGUUGCACGACAGAGUCAUCAUCGAGAGUGGUGAAUGAGGAAUCACCCUCUGUAGUCCACGACUGAUUGGCUACACUACAGAGAAAUCAGGAGUGAGAUACGAGGUAUCACCCUCGUCACUCGUAAGUAGCUCUGCAGAGUCGUACAACUAAGGGGAGUGUCGGUGAUGUGUCGGUCUCUGCACCUCGAUCACAUUGAUCGAGUCAUCCGAAAGCAAAGCAUGGCAACACGGACAAGGGUGUGGGACAUCUGAUGGAUCACUAACCAGCGUAUACUAAGCAUAUGACAACUGGUAAAGUAUCAACAAUAGGUUACAAAAUCAGGCCAUGCAUCAGAAUAGGAGCUAUUGAAUACAGUAGCAAAAUCUAAUUCAAGCACGGGAGAAAGAGAGUGGGCGAUAUAGGAAUGAUCAAGAGGGGGUUUGCUUGCUUGAAAGCUCUACGGCAAGUGGCUGAACGUCUGCAGCGUAGUUGUACUCGGUGGCGUCAGCGUCGGCCUCGGGGUCUACCGGAGAAGAAGAGGGGGAAGAAAUAGUGAAUAUAAAGCACACAGAUGCAUCACAAUGCAUGAGAUGGUGAUAUGCUAUGUUAGGGGUGACCUAAUGCAGUGCUAGGUGUUAUAGACGAAGCGGGAAAAUAUCCUGAAGUAUUUUCCUAGCUCCAGGCAUUUAUCGGUCUGACGAUCCGGAGGGGCAUGUUCCAUGUUUGUAGUGUUAGAGGCAUGAGGUAGGUAUGUGGAUGGCAUAUUCGGAUUCAUCUUAUUUUUCUGAUCAUUUUUCAUACAUAAAUUAUUUUAAUCCGAGUUGCGGUUUAGUUUAUAUGAUUUUCUAAAGUUUUAAUAUUUUUCUGAAAUUUCUAGAAUUUUCUGUUUAAUUUUAAUCCGAAUUGACCAAGUCAAUAUGAUGGUCAAAAGGCAAGGUGGUGGCCCACGUGUCACUAUUUUUAUAAUUUCUAAAAUGAUUUGUCUAAUCUAAUUAGAUGGGACCCACUUGUAAUUUGCUAAUAUGCUAAAUUAGCACUAAACUAAUACUAAGCUAAACCUAGACUAAUUAAACAAGGGCCGGCCACACACACGGCUAUGUACAGGGGCCUUGGCGACCAUGGCCAGAAGUGGUAGUAGCAGCAGCAAGCGAGCAGCAGCACGUAACGGCAGCAGCUUGAGCAGCAACAAUACGCAGCGACACCAGCAGCAAGAGAGGGGCGCGACUGCCAGCAGCAGAGCAAAGCAGCGGCAGCAGCUUGCAGUAGCUAGCAAUGGCCGCAGUACAACAACAAGAGCAGCAGCGUAAGUCCUUGUACAAUGGGUGGUGUUUAGAGAGAUGCUUAGAAAAAUAAAUUAGAUUUUUCUGAAGCACUGGUGCAUAUUUUUACAGAAGAGACUACCUAAGGUAUGUAUCCAACCCAUUACUUUGUCUGAUUUUUUCCCGCAAGAUGAUUGGAGUCAGGUUGUUCGUAAGAAGAAGAAGAGGAGAGGGAGACCUGAGCCAGCGCCGCCGGCGUCGGAGAUCCGGGCGGCGGCUAAGAUCCGGGCAGCUAGGGCUGCUAGUUUGAAAUUCCUCCUUGGCCACGAUGGGGUCGUUGAGGAGUGGGCCGGUUGUGAGCCCGUGCAUGGGUAUGAGGCCCAGCAUGGGGGUGUUGACGAGGGGCUUGAUGGACCGGCUGCGACUGGGUAUGUGGCCCAGGAGAGCCGGGACGCGCCCUCUCAGCCUGGCGUGCCUUGCAGGGUCGAGGCCCUUGCUGGACCGGGCAACGCUUCUACUCUUCGUGCGAUCCCAUGCACGUACGAGGACGUUCGUCUCCUUCUCGCUCGUGCGCCGCCGUUUCCUAGGGUUCGCAAAGUUGGGACGAGGGGUUUCCCUCCCUGUGGUAUUCGUCGGGCUCGGAGAAUCCGGCCAUUGCUAGGCAUGGCCGGCCGUGGGGAUGCGUCGCCGCCAGCCAAGAAGCCCUCCUCCGGUACGACGGGACGGGGUGGGGCGGCGCCGCCGCCGGCGGCAGGUGCCGGACGUGGCGUCCUGGCGCAGCCUGGCCAAAGGCCGCCGGCGGGUGGGGCCGUCGUGCACAGUCACCCAGGCAGAGGCGCUGGCCCCUUGGGUGCGCGGCCUCCAGGGCAAGCUCACCUGCAGCCGGCCUCUGGGAGGGGUAGCCUGAGGCCGCCGGCGCCAGGCGCGGUGCCCAUUGCUCCUGCUGCCGGACGGGAUGGUCUGAGACCACCGGCGCCAGGUGCGGCGCCCUUUGCUCCGCCGGCUGCGGGUUGUGGAGGCCCUCGACCUCCCGCGCCGGGCGCAUCUGGUGAGACUCCGGCUGGCCGCGGUGGAGGGCCUCGGCCUAUUGGGGGCUUGCCGGCGACCGCAGGCAAUCAACCACGGGAUGCACCUCCGCCCAAUUACGUUGCAAGGCCGGCGCAAAACAGGUCCGGUCCGACUCAGACAAACAACAGAGAGCCCAACGUUCCGCCCCGAGGCCAGUGGGGGAUGAUGGGUAUGAUGCGUAUGGUGAUGGACAGCACCGAGGAUCCUCUUCCACGGGAGGAGGUCGUGGAUAUGCCUGGCAAAGCGACAGGUCUGCUGAGAGACCGUUUCUCGGCCCGGCAGGUUGUUUUGUCGAGGGGGCCUCCGGCCCGGAUCACCGUCAAAGAGGAGGCUUUCGUGGCCAUCGUGGUGGUCGGGGUGGGGGCCGUGGGAGAUUCCGCCGACCGCCCCCGCCCAGGGCUGUUGUUCCUGCGGCAACUACAGUGGAGUCUGAUCAUACUUCCACUGAGCUUCCUUCCCAGGCGAUGGAGGUGGUGAACGCCUUGGCCAGUGUUGAGGUUCCUGAGGCUGGGACGGUGGAUGAGGCUACCGACAGGUCGGAUGCCGACAGGGCGUCCAAAUAUGCACGUAAGAAGGAGAGGAUGAUUUGUUACCGUUGUGGUGAGAAGGGCCACUUCAUUGCUGAGUGUGUGGCCCAGCUGUGUGAGUCGUGUGGCAAGCCUGCACAUGACUCGGGGGAGUGCCCGUUGUUGCGUGACCUGCCUCCGACACUGAAUAUUUAUGGAGUCUAUUGUGUUGAGCUCAUGUUUUUUGAGUCCCCGGCGGCGAGAGAGGUCCCGGAAGAUACCCUGAGCUUGACUACCGGGAUUGUGAGAGCGACCCAGGGCGAGGUGACUGAGGCACAGAUUGUGAGGAGGCUUCAGGAGCUGGCUCCCGGGGAUUUUAGAUGGGAAUUGGUGCUUAUCGAGGACAGGGUUUUUAAGGUUGAUUUCCCAUCUGUGGAUGAUUUGCAGAGAUUGUUGAGCUUUGGCUUGUGUAAAGUCCCCGGUACUAAGUGUAUCCUGGAGUUUAACGAGUGGAAGCAGGUUGAGCCUAAGGGAAAGCCGCUUACGCAGGUCUGGUUGCGGUUUAUAGGGGCUCCUUCUAAGCCUCUGCAGGAUGCUCGAGUGGUGGCCAGUAUGGGCAUCAUGGUUGGGAAGACAGAAAACAUGGAUAUGGCUUUCACACGUGCCCAUGGGGUGGCCCGUCUUUUAGUAAGUGUUCUGGAUAUUCAGUUCGUGCCUGAUAAGGUCAACUGGACAUAUAGGGGAGAGGUGUUCCCGCUAGAGAUCGAGUUUGAGGACACCGAUUUAUUUGCUGAUGCGGUUAAUGGUAAUGAUGUUGACAUGCACGACAGUGAUGGUAAUGCGGGGGCCAAGGGGGCACCGUUAGAUGAGCCCACGCGAGAGGGGUCUAAUGGUUCUCACCCAGCUACUCAGUCGCCUGGGGAUGGGACCGGGGUUGAGCCCACAGUUUCACCAAUGGUGCCCAUGACUACUCUGUGUUUUGGGUCUUUUGAGCCAGCCUCGGCACCUCCCAGACUAUGGAGUGACCGGGUAGAUUCUGGUGAUUAUCUUGAGCACACGCUCCCUCCGUUGGAGUUCGAGGGGGAUGCUGGUUUGUUUGCUGGAUGGCCGGCAAGGACUUUGGUCGGCGCUACGGAGAGGAGGCCGGAGGGUGCUUCUCUUGUCCUGGCGCCUCAUGUGGACGCGACUCCGGUGUCGGCGAUUGCGGGCACGAUGGGUCGUGGGGUAGGGGGUUCGGGGCAGGUGGCCUCGUCUUCUCCCAUCCCCAUACCGAUCCCGAUGGCGUCGGUGGCGCCGGCCCUGAGGGGGUCGACCGGUGCUGGGAGAGGGAGCCCGAGGCAGGUGGCCUCGACUCCUGCUACUCCGAUGGUGGCGAUAACCACCGCGGCAGCAGCUGCGUUGGGGGGACGCCAGGGUAGGAGGCCCUGUCUCCUCCCUCUUCACCGACGGUCAGGAGGACCGCCUCUCCCUCGCCGAUGGCUCUUCCGUCUGAGCCGGCGGCUGGGGUGGGAGGAGGGUGCAGGCAGGCGGCCCCCGUUAUCCCCUCUUCGCUCCUACCUAUGGCCGGGGUCCCUGGUGUGGGGCACCCGUCUAAGGGGAUCGGGAGCCCGCAGACGCCCUCUCUGGUAACCUCGGCACCCCCUUUGAGGGUUUCCGUGCCAGGUUUUACUAGGGAGGAGGUUGUCGCGUUUGGUAGGAUCCCAGACCCUAUCUUCGAGGGGAGACGGAUGAGUGCUCGCAUCUUCGACAUCCCUAAGGUGGAUGAUAUGCAGCAGCGGUGCGCUAUGAGGGCAGCCAAGCUUCAGGAGGCUGCUUUAUCUUCUGGUAUGUCCAUCAACUUAUCUAAUUCCUUAUUGCAUUUUUCUAAUGAGGACAUUAUAAAUAAUGCAAACCAAUUAGGAGUUUCACUAGGUGCUACGGAUAGUGAGAUUACCAAUUCGGUGAAUGAUCUAUUAGAUUUGGAGGCGGAACGUGCUUUAGAGACUAUUCGUAAUCUUGCGGCAGUUAAAGCAAUGAAUGAUGAUGAGAUUGAUGCGUUAGGGGUUAGAGUGCUCGAUAAUCUGUGUGCGGAUCUAGCACCCCCCAAUCAUGACUCUGAGGAAGAUGAUGCACCCCUAGAGAAUGAUGCUAGGAAUAUUUGUGAACCCGGUUAUGAGGACCGGGCGACUGAGCUUAGUAAACCUAAGCGUAAGUGGAAACGGAAGAUCUAUCCCGAUUCCGCAGUUCGUAGGAGUGCUAGGAUUCGAACCACUAAAAAAUUCCAUGAUGAAUUAUGAGAGGAAUAUUUUGGAAUAGUAGAGGUCUGAAAGACUUGGCUAAAGGAAGAUUCCUAGCUGAGACAGCUUUAGAGCAGAGGUUAGAUUUUGUUGCUCUAUCGGAGACGGGUAGAGAUAACUUUGCGCCCCAGUUUCUCUCUUCUCUUGUGGGUGGUAUUGAUUUCGAUUGGCAUUGCCUCCCUCCGCGAGGAAGAUCGGGUGGUAUCUUACUAGGUGUGAGAUGCGAUUCGCUUGAAGUCCGAAGUGUAGUGAUGGGCGACUUCACGGUGAAGUUUUGAGUCAGGUCUAGGAUAGAUGGUUUUAAUUGGGCUUUGGUGGCGGUUUAUGGUGCCGCACAGCCCGAGCUUAAAGUGGAGUUUCUGGCGGACCUUGUUCGAAUCUGUGGGUCAGAACAGCUGCCAAUUUUAGUUGGAGGUGAUUUCAAUAUCAUCAGGAGGAGAGAGGAGAAGAACAAUGAUAACUUUGACGACAGAUGGUCGUUCAUGUUCAACACCAUUAUUGAAAGCUUGGAUCUGAGAGAGAUAGAGCUUUCUGGUAGAAAGUUCACCUGGGCUAAUGCUCUGCCAAACCCAACCUAUGAAAAACUUGAUCGAGUUCUUGCGAGCGUGGAGUGGGAACAAAAGUUCCCUCUGGUUACGGUGCAAGCUCUUUCGAGGGGAAUAUCUGAUCACACCCCAUUGUUCGUGGACUCAGGGGAGCCGAACCACGUGGGUAACAAGAGCACCUUCUCGUUCGAGAUGUCAUGGUUUGAACGUGAGGGCUUCUUGGACUUGAUUGCCAGGGAAUGGGUUAAAGGUGUAGGAGGCAAGACUGCGAUAGAGCGUUGGCAGAAUAAGGUUAGGCAUUUGAGAAGUUUCUUACGGGGUUGGGCUAAGCACCUCAGUGGUGAGUAUAAGAUUGAAAAGGAUAGACUCCUCACUCUUAUACAGGCCCUGGACAUAUAGGCCGAAUCCACUAUUUUAUCGCCAGCUGAGCUUCAGGUUAAAAAUGAGGCGGAGAAGAGGUUAAAAGAACUGCUCCGCGAAGAAGAAUUGAAGUGGGCUUUGCGUGCUAAAGUCCGCAAAGUGGUCCAAGGGGAUGCGAAUACUCAGUUCUUCCAUUUGAUAGCUAAUGGCAAGCACGGAAAGAAGCAUAUCUUUCAGCUUGAGCAAGAUGAGGGCACUAUUUUAGGUCAGGAUAACCUAAAAACAUAUAUUACCGACUAUUAUAAGCAGUUAUUUGGACCUCCGGAGGAUAAUUGUGUGUCCCUCGAUGAGUUCAGGACUGAGGAUGUACCUCAGCUAUUGGCUGCCGAUAAUGAUAUUCUGGUUGCCCCGUUCUCGGAGAAGGAGGUGUUUGAUGCUAUUGCACAGAUGAAAAACAAUAAGGCUCCCGGACCGGAUGGAUUCCCGGCAGAGUUCUAUAAAAAGUGCUGGCACAUUAUUAAGGGGGAUUUACUACCUAUGUUCCAUGAUCUGUUCUCUGGACUGCUUCAACUAUUUCACUUGAAUUUUGGGACUAUCACACUGCUUCCUAAGAAGACGGAUGCGGUGAGAAUUGGGCAAUUCAGGCUGAUCUGUCUCCUCAAUGUUAGUUUCAAAAUUUUCACCAAGGUCGGGACUAACAGACUCACACAGAUUGCGCAUUCUGUGGUGCAACAGUCCCAAACCGCUUUCAUGUCGGACAGAAAUAUCCUUGAAGGGGGUGGUAGACCUGCAUGAAACACUCCAUGAAAUCCAUUCCAAAAAAUUAGAUGGAGUAAUUUUUAAGGUGGAUUUCGAGAAAGCGUAUGAUAAGGUCAAAUGGCCAUUCCUCCAACAGUCAUUGCGUAUGAAAGGUUUUGAUGAAGCCUGGCGCCGACAGGUUGAAUCAUUUAUGCAAAAAGGUAGUGUGGGAAUUAGAGUUAAUGAUGACAUAGGUCACUACUUCCAGCCACAUAAAGGCCUAAGACAAGGAGAUCCGAUGUCCCCUAUCUUGUUUAACAUUGUGGUGGAUAUCUUAGCAAUUUUGAUAGGAAGGGCUAAGGAAAAUGGUCAAGUAGGUGGAUUGGUACCUCAUCUUAUUGAUGGAGGUGUGUCCAUCCUUCAGUACGCUAAUGAUACAAUCAUAUUUAUGGAGCAUGACUUGGCCAAGGCGAGAAAUAUGAAGCUUGUGUUAUGCCUAUUUGAACAAUUGACCGGGUUAAAGAUUAACUUUCAUAAGAGCGAGCUGUUCUGUUUUGGUAGGGCCAAAGAUGAAUAGGAUGCUUAUAGGCAAUUGUUUGGGUGUGAGUUGGGAGAGUUACCCUUCUCUUACUUGGGGAUUCCAAUCCACCAUCGUAGGCUGACAAACAGAGAAUGGAAGUGCAUCGAGGACCGAUUUGAGAAGAAAAUGAGUUGCUAGAAGGGUAAGCUCAUGUCAUACGGAGGCCGAUUAAUCCUAAUUAAUUUGGUGCUCAUGAGUAUGCCAAUGUUUCUCCUAUCGUUCUUUGAGGUCCCAGUUGGUGUUAGGAAGAGACUGGACUUCUAUCGAUCGCGUUUCUUUUGGCAGGGUGAUGAGCUUAAAAGAAAAUAUCGGCUUGGUAAAUGGGAUAUCAUCUGUAGACCAAAAGACCAAGGGGGUCUAGGUAUCGAGAAUCUAGAAGUUAAGAAUAAAUGCCUUCUUAGCAAGUGGCUGUGGAAGCUCUCAUCGGAGAAUGAUGCUAUGUGGGCUCAAAUCCUUCGCAGCAAGUACCUCCAGACAAAAACUUUGUCCCAAGUUACAGUUAGGCCGACCGACUCGCCCUUCUGGAAAGGCCUGAUGAAAGUCAAACAGGCCUUGUUUAAUAGGACGAAGUUUGUUAUUGGAAACGGCACGAGUACACGUUCUGGGAGGAUACUUGGCUCGGCGAGACACCCUUGGCCAUCCAGUACCCGUCUUUGUACCGCAUUGUUCAACGACAUGAGGUGUUCGUCGCAUUGGUCUUUCAAUCUACCCCCCUUAAUAUUCAGUUCCGACGAACGCUAGCGGGCAAUCGUUGGGAAGAAUGGCUCCGUCUAGUUAGGAGACUGAUGGAAGUCCAGCUUUCACAACAACCCGAUGAAUUACGCUGGAAAUUGACUAAGUCUGGAGCUUUCACGGUUAAAUCAAUGUAUAUUGAUGUUAUUAAUUCGAACUCUAUUCCUACGUCCAAGCAUGUUUGGGAUGUCAAAGUUCCUUUGAAAAUAAAAGUGUUUAUGUGGUUUGUCCAUAAACAAGUUAUUUUAACUAAGGACAACUUGAUAAAGCGUAAUUGGACAGGACCUACUAGGUGUAGUUUCUGCGAUCGGGAUGAGACUAUCAAACACCUCUUGUUUGAUUGCUCGUUGGCCAAGGUACUUUGGCAGACGGUCCACAUUGCUUUAAUAUCAAUCCACCAAAUUCUGUUAAUGCGUUAUUUGGGACAUGGCUUAAUGGGAUUGAGCCUGACUUAGCGAGACAUAUUCGGGUUGGAGUUUGUGCUUUGCUGUAGACUAUCUGGACUUGUAGAAAUGAUUUGGUUUUUAACAGAAUAUCAUGUACAAUUUUUGUAGGUCUUAUUCCGAACUACGACACUGAUCCGUUCGUGGUCGCUACUCACCCAGACGGAGGCCAGGGAGCAUUUGGUUACUGGGUCCUUCCACUGGGAGAUGGUAGCUCGGGAUAUCUUCAACCGGUUUGGAUGGCGGUCAUGUAAUAGGAUAGGCAUUUAGUAUCCCUAUCUAGUUUUAGCCAGCCGGUUGUGGCGUCUUUUCUUGGCUAGUUGAUGUUUCUAGCCCUGUUUGGCUCUGUGUGAGCUUUCUGUGCUUUUUUUAUUACUUUAGGAGACCUUUGGAACCAUGUUGGCACUACUUUAUUUGGUUAAUAAGAUGGCCGUAUGCAUCUUUCUGAUGCAGAGGCCGGGGAAUCCCCCCUUUUCAAAAAAGAAAAAAAAUAUUUCUACAGAAGAGACGCUUAGUUAACCGUCUAUCAUGUACAAAUAAGCACCGGUGCUUAAGAAAAGCCUGGUUUAUUUCUCUAAGCACCUCCACUAAGCACCUCCCAUUGUAUAAGGCCUAAGAGCAGCAACGGCGGCAACGAGCAGUUGCGGUGCGGUGCGCGCGGGGGCGGCCAAGGCAACAGUCACGCGUAGCAGGAGCGGUGAGCAGCAUAAGCAGUAGCGGCACGUGCUCACGCGCAUGCAGGAGCUCGGAUGAGCUCGGGAACAGCGGCACAAUGACAUAUCGAAGGAGGAAAGGGGGAAUCGAUAGAGUAGCUAGACGUGGUCAGGAGGUGCGGGGGUGGGCGGAUGCGACGAGUCCGACGACAAGAUGCGGCGGCCGUGGGCGAAGAUGACGAUGAUGGCGAACGUACGGUGCCUCCUAGCUCGAACCUUCCGCAAGGGUGACAGAGACGACGAUGGCAGAGUUCCUCGACGUCUUCUCAGGUGCUGAGGUGGACGGUGGCCGCGGUAACGAUGGCGACCAUGGCGACCACGACUCGGGCGAGCUCUAAAUAGAAACUGAGAGGGGCGAGGAGACGAACUGAAGGGCUAGGUCUUGGCCAAGAGGGUGGUUGCGGCUUUAUAGGGCCUCGAGGACGGCUCGGAUGGUCGACACGCGACCAAGGUGCAGCCAUGACGGCUGGAUGACAGCCGCGCCCUCCCUCGAGCAAUGGCGAUGUUCUGGUGUCGUAACCUUUUGAAGAUACCGCCUUGGAGCCCAUGGUUCGUCGUGUGCGACUUCAUCUCUUCGUGAUGGCGUGUUCACAGUUGAGGACCCGGGUUGCUUUUGUAUUGCUAGGGGUGGUGUGGCUGCGCUCAACACCUAUGUAUCAUGUCUUGGGUGUGUGCAUGUGUUGUGAUGGCGUGCAUUUGUACUGGGUUGUGGAUGAUCGUUGCUUUAUAUAUAAAGCGGGCAGAAGUCCUUUUGUGUAAAGAAGAAAACAUAUACAUAGUUCAAAACCAGUUGCAGUUGAAAGAUCGCGCGUAUUUAGAAUUGUUUUUCUUUCAAGAGUGCGCCAAUGGCGAAUUUAGAAUUGUAGCCGGUUAUAUUCCGGUCAGGGAAAACUGAGUCAACAAGGUACUCCCUCCGUCCUGGUGUAUAAGUCAUCUUAGGUUGUGCAUGGCGACCAACGCGGAGGGUAAAACGAGAGAACUUAAUUGUAUUUGCUAAUUAAUAGCAUUGCAUGCAAAGAACUGACCACUGCACGUCAUGUUUGGUAGUCUCAGGUCACUGAAAGCAUACACGCUCCACAUCUCUUAUUGGUUGAUUCUUUUAUUUAUAUCAAGAAACAAGAAAUGAGGUAGGAGUUAAUGCACCGCGCCUAAGUGUUUUGAGAUUAUUUGAUUUUUGUUAUGUGAGUUAUACAUCUAGAUGGAGGGAGUACCUGCUAACUAUCUUCAGUAGUUAAAUGAUGAGAGUAAGGGCAUCUUCAACACCGACCCACAAACCUUUCGCAUGCAUUCGGAUUGCUCUAUCCGUACAUCGGAAGCCAUACAACGCGGGUCUAUAUCGGUCCGAGGCGCGGUCCGGACGCGAUUUCCCCACAAACUGAAGACAAACGGGGGAGCCUUUGCGGGAGUUUGGACCAAUCCUACGCCCCCUUUUGACCUUCAUGUCCCACCAAAACCCCUCCUCCCUCGUCCACGUGUGUUCCCGCCUGAUGCCAGCUGCCUGCAUUCAUGUCAUUGUAGAGGGCGCCGCUUAACAUUGAAGAUGACUCAAGGCGGACGCGACCUCUCACUGCCUCCGCCAUUGAAUCGGCGAGCCGGCCGAGGGCACCGCCCGCGACACAUCUCUAGUGUCCUUGCCUGUUCAAUUCCCAGGACGCGUGAGUGGACAAGAUGGGAGAAUAUCUGCCACGCCCAUCCAAUACCAUUCUCCAUCCAUAUGCCGCCAUUAAGCAGGCUCGCUGGCCGAGAAACCCAUUCUUGCGUCGCGCAUUAACACACCCGAACGCCUCGCCUCACCAGAAUCCGCUAUAUAAAGGUGGCCACACCCGACUAACUCCACACCGCCCUCCCCGUCCUCCUCCCUUACACCGCAUCCGCCAUGACAGCAGGUGGUGAAGCUCUGUGGGAGAGCCUUUCCACGGAGAUGUAGUACGCCGUGGCCGCCCUAGCCGCUGCCUGGCAAAGCCGCCGUGCCAGGCUGAUUGAGGCCGGCUUGCCGGCCGACUCGCCUGAGGUCUCCGACAACGAGGAUGAGACCAUGAUGGAGACCGCCUCCGAUGACACCGCCUGGCUCCCACGCCUCCUGCGCACGUCAACUUCACCAUGGAGUAUGCGCAGGCGCACUACAACGCCGCCAUGGCGGAGGUGCGGCAUGCGUCGAUGCCUUUGUCAGCGUUCCAAUAGGCCAAGANNNNNNNNNNNNNNNNNNNNNNNNNNNNNNNNNNNNNNNNNNNNNNNNNNNNNNNNNNNNNNNNNNNNNNNNNNNNNNNNNNNNNNNNNNNNNNNNNNNNNNNNNNNNNNNNNNNNNNNNNNNNNNNNNNNNNNNNNNNNNNNNNNNNNNNNNNNNNNNNNNNNNNNNNNNNNNNNNNNNNNNNNNNNNNNNNNNNNNNNNNNNNNNNNNNNNNNNNNNNNNNNNNNNNNNNNNNNNNNNNNNNNNNNNNNNNNNNNNNNNNNNNNNNNNNNNNNNNNNNNNNNNNNNNNNNNAUCUACGGCGAGAGGGUGAGCGAGGUGGCCGUGGCGGCCAUGGCCGCUGUGAACCCCAACUUCCUCAUAGAGCAACAUGCCAUCUACGAUGUCGUCCGCUCUCAAGCCACUGCUUGCAAGGAAGUGGCCAUGAUGGAGGGGCAAUUGCAGGCGAUCACGGAGGAGAACAAUGCCAGCUACACCUCCUAAGUGUCGCUGACGAACCAUUAGGCGGCCCGGUGGGACGACCACAGCGCCGGCGCCACCAUUUCCAUCGUGGACCUCACAUCCACCGGCGACAGACAGGCUGUAAACUCCUCCGAGGAUGAGUAGGCCACGGGAGGCGGCAGGGCCUUGUGCCCCAUGUCAAACGAUCUGUCUCCUGUGUUCUACUCUUCCUUGCCGGAGACUGCGCCUUCACUUCAUAAGUCUGAUUACCGGUGAUCAUGUAGACGGUAGAUGGAGGACGACACAGGCUUGGAGGCCGGGCUCUGUCGUCGUAGGAUAGGUUUAGGAUUGGUUUUUUUGUCAUAAAUGAUUGAAAUGUAAUGAAAACAUGUCGUGUUUGUAUGAAAUCCAUCAUGUUUAUAUGAAAUUCAGCCUUAUUUGCACAAAUUUCAUCCGGUUUGUUGAAGAAGAGUUUGAACUAUAUGCGACUAGUAUUGGAUGGCGGCCUCCCGCAGCUAUGUCCGUAGACUGGUCCUUCCAUAUCCACAGACGGAUGCUAGAGGAAAUUUGCGGGUUGCUGUUAGAGAUGCCCUUAGCCGCAUAAAUUUUGACAACAAUUUGAACCAACCCGAAGAAAUUCGUACAAACACGACCGAAUUUCAUAUAAACAUGAUGGAUUUCAUACAAACCGGAUGAAAACAUUUACAUUUUGAACAUAUUUUAACUAAAAAGUUGAAACUAUGUGCACAUAUGGUCGUGCGGAGCUCCACUCCCACGACAUGGAUACACUACACUAGUCAACGGCCGGGCGCAGUGGAUCCCUUUGUCUUUCCCAUGUCCUGCAGCCCACUCACUGGAUUGUUGAGAGCCCCAGAGGUAUAUGCUUCAACGCAAAGGAUGGCUCGCUUCCCCACUUCUCAUCAGAGUGGAACCAUCGGCUGAUGCUUCAGCCGGAGGGGAAGGGGAGUGCUUUCGCUUCUGUGGAGCGAAUUCAACCCACGACACGGAUACACUACACUAGUCAACGACCGGCCGCGACGGAUCCCUUUGUCUUCCCCAUGUCCUACAGCCCACUCAUCGGAUUGUUGGGAGCCCCGGAGGUAUAUGCUUCAGCGCAAAGGCCGGCUCGCUUCCCCACCGCUCAUCAAAGUGGAACCAUCGGCUGAUGCUUCAGUUGGAGGGGAAGGGGAGCGCUUCCGCUUCCGUGGAGCCCAUUCAAUGUGUUGGCAAUGGUCUGCAAUGAAAAACCGGGCAAGACACCGAUUGUGUACGCCAGCGCCAUCGUGGUGGUGGCCUUCAUGGGACCCAAACGACGGCUGAUGAUGAUAUAGACUGGGGUAGGGUCAUGGGCCUGAUCCAUAUGUCCUACCCAAGGUCACUACCCUGGAAGAUAAGAAGUCCAAGAGGCAAAAGGAGACCCCCAGUCAAAGAUGUCGAGUGCAAUUCACUCGACCAGUCAUAUCACUCGUGCGACCCCCUACCUAUUGCCACUCGACCAUGCAAGGAACCACUCGACCCACCGAAGAUCAGGAGUCACUCAGCACUGCAAUGGUCAGGCAUUCACUCCGUAGUCUUUAAGGUCAUAAAUAACACUUAAGGCUGGCGUUAUUAGUAACACCCCUUCUUUAUGUACAUUAAGCCCCUUAUAAUGGAGGACGACUGGGGUCCUGGAGCACUCUAUAUAAGCCACCCCCUCCUCUGGGACAAGGCUGGGCACCCCCUGUAACAUCACACACAUAUAAUCCAGUCGACCGCCUCCGGGCACCAAGACGUAGGGCUGUUACUUCUUCCGAGAAGGGCCUGAACUCGUAAAUCCCAUGUGUACACCUUCACCAUAGCUGAGAUCUUGCCUCUCCAUACCUACCCCCCUUUCUACUGUCAGUCUUAGAUUCACGACAGUUGGCGCCCACCAUGGGGCGGGUGUCUUAGCGACUUGUUGGUGAAGUUGCGAUUUUUCCGAUCACCAUCAUCAUUGUUUCCGGCAGUGGAUUGGCUGAGGGCCACGAGAUCCGUCUCGGUGGCUUGUUUUCAUCGCCGACGAUUCUGCUUGACUUCAGGAAGCUCCCCUUGACGUCGGGGCGCUCCCACGUCUGAGGAGCGAGGCACUUUCACGCGUGCGUUCGGGGCGUCCUUCUCCGGCAGCCGUUGACCCAGUAUCAGCCGGCUCCGAUGGUGUCUGCCCUUCCCGCUGUUCGCCGCCGCAAGCGAUUUGGUCGGUCGCGGCUUCAGUGGUGGGUGAAACACGCGGUGGCUCAGCAUUCGGCCACCCAUCAAGUCACGACAAUCAAGCCCGACGAAACUCUCCAUGGCUUGUUUGAUUUGUCGACUGGCUCUGCGGAGACCGCAUCCGAGUGCGAUAGCGGUGACCCUGCGGCUGAAGUCUUGAUGGUCAAUGGACCAUGUAGUCCGCCUAGUUUCCGCCAUGUUGACGGUGAGGAUGGUGGCGGAGAUCCGUCACGCGUCCACGAGGAGUACCAUCCCGAACCCCUCUCUUUGCAGCAGAGGGAAGAACUUCGUCGCCGCAACAUGGAUGCACUCCACACACCCAUUGUUGGAGAAACCCCCGAGGCUCGAGCCUUCGAAGAGGUGCGCUUGGCUAAUUUGGCUGAGCACACUUGACUGGAGAACCUUCAGCACGCUCUCGACGAGCGUGCUCGGGAGCGGAUUCCUGAGUCCAAUCGACGACAGCUUUUCCCACCUCUUCCUAAGGUAUACCGUACUCCGAUUCAGAAUCUCACAGCUGCGGCCCGAAUAGCAGAGUCGAUUCAACCUUCCCAGUCGGAGGCUGGCAGAGGUUUGAUGCAGAUCCGGGCCUUGCUCUGGGCAGUAGGAGAACAAAACACAACAGUGUCUCAGUCGCGGAAUAGGAUUCACAGCAGAUCCGUAGUAGCAUAUACAGUUCAGUCGGCCCACAACCCAAGAUCGCCCCUGCGGCGUGAAGGCCGUGGGCAAUAUUAUCACCGACUCGACCGCGAAAAUUGCCGUCGAGUGCCUACACCUCCUCUGAGGAGUGCAUCAUAUGUGCCUCGGCAGUACGAUGAUAGGCGCCGUCACAGUGGCGAGUGCAGAGCACCAGUUGACCCAAGAGCGCCAGGCUUCGAUGCAAGAUCCAUCCUCGUUCAAGGUCUAGUCAACCGGAACAGAGUGCAUAGAGAAGACCCUGGCAGAGAUCGUCCGACUGGCAGAAGAGUGCAUGUUUCGGGUCCAGAAUGUUUUAGCAGAGCCAUCAGGGCUGCAGUGAUUCCACCCAACUUCAGGUUGGCGACUGGAGUCAACAAGUUCACUGCAGAGUCCAAGCCUGAAACUUUGCUUGAGGAUUACCGGGUGCCUGUGCAGAUUGGUGGCGGGAAUGAUGAAGUGGCAAUGAAACAUAUUCCUCUGAUGUUAUAAGGGUCGGCCCGAGCGUGGUUGACUCAGUUAGCCCCAGACAGUAUAUACAGUUGGGAAGAUCUAGCUCGAGUGUUCGUCAGAACUUUUGAGGGAACUUGCAAGCGGCCAGCAGGAUUGAUAGAGUUGCAUCAUUGUGUGCAGAAACCGAGUGAGACUCUAAGGGAUUUCAUUCAGAGGUGGACCACUUUGCAUCACACCGUUGAAAAUGUAUCAGAGCAUCAAGCAGUGUGUGCCUUCAAGGAAGGCGUCAAAUACCAAGAGUUGGUCCUGAAGUUUGGUCGGACUGGAGAUAUGACUCUGACUCAGAUGAUGGAAAUAGCCACCCGGUACGCUAACGGAGAAGAAGAGGACCGACUUCAUAGCAGAAAGGGUAAACCAAUCGGCUAAGAGGCCGGUGGGGGUAAUUCUAAUCAGAAACAGAACGUAAGGCCGAGCCUGCAGCACCCGGUGAGAUUGCAGCGGUGACUCAAGGAAAGUUUAAGGGAAAGCCUAAAGGUCCCUGGCCCCCUAAGAAAGUAAAGGAUCAAGCAGGAAAUGAUGUGUUAGAUUUAUCGUGUCACAUCCACACGAAGAAGGAUGAAGAGGGUAAUCUGAUUUACCCUAAGCAUACCACUCAACAAUGUCGACUCCUGAUCCAGCAGUUCUGAGAGAAACAACCCAGUGGGAAGGAUAAAGAGUCAGACAAAGACGAGGACGAAGAGGAAGAUGACGGUUAUCCCAAAGUCAAUUCCACCCUCAUGAUUUUUGCUGAUGUUGAGAGCAAGAGUCGGUUGAAAGUUAUCAACAGAGAAGUGAAUAUGGUCGCUCCGGCGACGACGACCACAUACCUGAAAUGGUCUCAGAUAGCCAUCACAUUCGACCAGUCUAAUCACCCUGCUCGCAUAACCACCCCUGGGAGGCAAGCGUUUGUGGUCGACCCAGUGGUCGAAGGCACUAGACUGACCAAAGUGCUAAUGGAUGGUGGAAGCGGCCUGAACAUCCUUUAUGCUGAAACUUUGAAGGGGAUGGGCAUUCCGAUGUCCAAACUUAGCGAGAGCAAUAUGAGUUUCCAUGGCGUUAUCCCUGGAAAGAAAGCCGAAUCACUCAGCCAGAUCGCCAUUGACGUGGUUUUCGAUGAUUACAAGAAUUACCGUAAGGAAAAAUUGACAUUUGAAGUUGUGGACUUCCAGAGUGCUUAUCAUUCCAUUCUGGGUAGGCCUGCCUAUGCAUGUUUUAUGGCUCGACCAUGUUACGUGUACCUCAAGUUGAAGAUGUCUGGCCCCAGAGGUGUGAUAAUAGUUACUGGCAAUCGGCAGAAGGCGGAGGAGUGCUUCCAGAAGGGUUCCAAAAUUGCUGAUGCUCAAAUGGCAGCAGUUGAAUUUCAAGAAUAUCAGAAGAAUGCAGAUCCUAGUGAUUUGCUCCAAGCUAAGAAGCCUACCCCAGAUCCUGCAUUUCAGUCGUCUGGUGAAACGAAGCCGAUUCAUAUUCACCCAACCGAUCCCAAUGCCGCACCGACUCAUGUAUCAAUGACACUCGACAGCAAAUAGGAAGACGCGCUCAUCCAGUUCCUCCGUGAGAACUAGGACAUCUUUGCAUGGAAACUUUCUGACAUGCCGGGUGUGCCCAGAGAACUGGCUGAGCACCGUUUGCGUGUCGACCCCAUGGUAAAACCCGUCAAAGAGCAUCUUCGGCGGUCCGCCGUGCAGAAGAGGAAAGCAAUUGGCGAGGAAGUGGCUCGGCUCCUAGCAGCAGAGUUCAUCCAUGAGAUCUACCACUCUGAGUGGCUUGCGAAUGUAGUCAUGGUCCCUAAGAAGGACGAUUCACUUCGUAUGUGCAUUGAUUUUAAGCAUAUCAAUCAGGCCUACCCGAAAGAUCAUUUCCCUCUCCCCCGCAUCGAUCAGAUUGUUGACUCGACGGUGGGGUGUGAGCACUUGUCUUUUUUAGAUGCAUAUUCCGGGUAUCAUCAGAUUCGACUGUAUGGUCCUGAUGAAAUAAAAACAGCCUUCAUCACCCCGUUCGGGUGCUUUUGCUAUGUUACCAUGCCAUUUGGUCUUAAAAAUGCUGGUGCCACAUUCAUGAGAAUGAUUCAGAAGUGCUGCUCACUCAAAUCAGUCAGAAUGUGGAAGCAUACAUCGAUGACAUUGUGGUCAAGUCUCGCAAAGGGUUCGACCUACUGACUGAACUCGCAGAAACCUUUGCCAACCUAGGAAGGUAUGAUAUCAAGCUUAAUCCUGCAAAGUGCACAUUCAGAGUUCCAGGUGGAAAGUUACUCGGUUUUCUCGUUUUCGAACGAGGGAUCAACGCCAAUCCAGAAAAAGUUGGUACCAUCCUCCGAAUGAAACGCCCUGUGCGUGUGCAUGACGUUCAGAAGCUUACUGGUUGUUUGGCCGCCUUUAGUCGAUUCAUUUCUCGUCUCGGGGAAAAGGCCUUACCUCUUUACCGAUUGAUGAAGAAAUCUGAUAAGUUCGAGUGGACUGAUGAAGCUGAUGCUACGUUUGCAGAGCUCAAAGCCCUGCUUUCCACCCAGCCGGUGCUUGCUGCACCAAUCAGCAAAGAGCCUUUACUGCUUUAUAUUGCAGCUACUGGACAAGUUGUCAGUAUAGUACUCACGGUCAAGCGAGAAGAAGAAGGAAAGACUUACAAGGUUCAGCGCCCAGUAUAUUAUCUCUUUGAAGUUUUGACUCCAUCCAAGCAACGAUAUCCACAUCAUCAGAAGCUUGUCUAUGGAAUACAUGACCAUGAAGAAGGUUGCACAUUAUUUCUCUGAUCACUCCAUUACAGCCAUUAUAUGAAAUUCUGAACAACAGAGAUGCAACUGGUCGAGUGGCAAAAUGGGCAAUUGAACUCCUUCCAUUGGAUAUCAAGUUUGAGGCGAAGAAAGCUAUUAAGUCCCAAGCAAUCGCAGAUUUUCUUGCCGAGUGGAUUGAGCAGCAACUGCCAACUCAAGUUCACUCGGAGCAUUGGACCAUGUUCUUCGAUGGCUCCAAGAUGAUGAAUGGUUCAGGUGCUGGAGUAGUAUUGGUAUCUCCCCGGGGAGACAAGCUUAGCUAUGUUCUCCAGAUUCAUUUUGAUUCCUCCAAUAACGAAGCUGAAUAUGAAGAGACAAGCUUAGCUAUGUUCUCCAGAUUCAUUUUGAUUCCUCCAAUAACGAAGCUGAAUAUGAAGCACUUUUAUAUGGGUUGCGUAUGGCCAUUUCACUCGGCGUCCGUCGCCGUAUGGUCUACGACGACUCGGAUUUGGUGGUUAAUCAAGUGAUGAAAGAGUGGGAUGUAAGGAGCCCAGCCAUGACUGGUUAUUGCAAUGCAGUAAGAAAGCUGGAAAAGAAGUUUGAAGGGUUGGAGCUUCACCAUAUACCCCGACUGAAAAAUCAAGCUGUAGAUGAAUUGGCAAAGAUAGGUUCUAAGAGAGAGGCCAUUCCCAGCAAUGUGUUUUUGGAGCAUAUUCAUUCACAUUCAGUUCAGGAAGAUCCUUUCACUGAAGAGUCCCCACAGCCUAAGAGCGCCAUAGAUCCGACUGAAGUCAAAAUCCCAGCCGUGGUCGACUUAGUCAUGGAGGUUUUGGUCGUCACUCCCGACUGGACAGUGCCGUACGUUGCAUACAUUCUUAGGAAAGAACUUCCAGAGGAUGAAGAAGAGGCUCGACAGAUCGUUCGAUGAUCUAAAGCCUUUACCAUGGUAAAAGGUUAGUUGUUUAGAGAAAGUGUAACUGGAGUCUGCCAGAAAUGCAUCACGCCAGAAGAAGGUCGAAUGAUCCUCAAUGAUAUUCACUCGGGGACCUGUGGUCACCAUGCGUCCUCUCGGACCAUCGUGGCCAAAGCAUACUGAGCUGGAUUUUACUGGCCACAUGCAAUCGAGAUGGCGAAAGAAAUAGUGGACAAAUGUGAAGGCUGUCAGUUUUACUCCAACAUGUCCCAUAAGCCUGCUCAGCUCUGAAGACUAUUCCACUCGUCUGGCCUUUUGCUGUAUGGGGAUUGGACAUGGUUGGACCUCUGAGGACUGGCAGGAGUGGAUUUACCCAUGUGCUGGUGGCAGUCGACAAGUUUACCAAAUGGAUCAAAGCCAAGCCCAUUAAAAACCUUGAAGCAAGUACAGCUGUAAGUUUCAUCAGAGAAUUGAUAUUCAGAUAUGGUGUUCCACAUAGCAUCAUCACGGAUAACGGGUCGAACUUCGACUCUGACGAUUUUAGGGCCUUUUGUGCUUCCCAAGGCACGAGGGUCAAUUACGCUUCGGUCGCCCACCCUCAGUCGAAUGGGCAGGCUGAAAGAGCAAAUGGAUUGAUUCUCAAAGGACUGAAACCCCGCUUGAUGCGUGACCUCAAGCAUGCAGCAGGGGCUUGGGUCGAUGAACUUCCAUCAGUACUUUGGGGAUUGAGGACAACUCCUAACCGGCCGACUGGACGAACUCCAUUCUUCUUAGUCUACGGGGCUGAAGCCGUACUCCCGAGUGAUCUGCUCCACAAUGUGCCCCGAGUCAAGCUCUUCUCAGAAGAGGAAGCCGAACAGGCUCGACAAGAUGCAGUUGAUCUCCUGGAAGAAGAAAGAGAGAUAGCCUUGAUCCGGUCGACCAUUUAUCAACAAGACCUGCGUCGAUUCCAUGCCAGAAACGUGAGGGGUCGGGCAUUUCAGGAGGGAGACUUGGUUCUUCGAGUGGACCAGCAGAAACCACACAAGCUCGCUCCUGCUUGGGAAGGCCCUUUCGUCGUCACUAAAGUGCUCCACAACGGAGCAUAUCGUCUUUUCAACGUCGAGCACAAUAAAGAUGAGCCACGCGCUUGGAAUGCGGAACUGCUCCGCCCCUUUUACUCUUAAAGCAUUCAGACUGUUGAGAUGUAAUAAGAAGUACCUUUUAGUUUCAUUAUCAAAAGGCAUGAUUUUACAGUCUUCCGAAUGAUUGUUGUUCAUUUUUUACAUGUUCUAAAAUCCCCCAGUGGGUGCCUUAGCCGUGAAUCCGUUUCGCCUAAGUUGAAGAGAAAAUCCUACCGAGUGGUGAGCCAGCCUCUCACUCGGAGGCUUAGUUGUGAAUCCGUUUCACCUAAGUGUUAAAAAAUCCUACCGAGUGGUGAGCCAGCCUCUCACUCGGAGGCUUAGCUGCAGUCCAGUACUCGCCUAAGUGUUAGAAACUCCUAUCGAGUGGUGAGCUAGCCUCUCACUCGGAGGCUUAGCUGCAGUCCAGUACUCGCCUAAGUUUAAAAGGUCCUACCAAACGAUACAGGUCGACCACGACCCCCCUAGGGGCUGCACCGUCAAGAAGGACAAGAUUGUGAGAGCAAUCCUCUCACUCGGGGGCUUAGCUGCAGUCCAGUACUCGCCUAAGUUUGAAAAAUCCUAUUGAGUGGCGAGCAAUCCACUCACUCGGGGGCUUAGCUACAGUCUAGUACUCACCUAAGUAUAAAAAAUCCUACCNNNNNNNNNNNNNNNNNNNNNNNNNNNNNNNNNNNNNNNNNNNNNNNNNNNNNNNNNNNNNNNNNNNNNNNNNNNNNNNNNNNNNNNNNNNNNNNNNNNNNNNNNNNNNNNNNNNNNNNNNNNNNNNNNNNNNNNNNNNNNNNNNNNNNNNNNNNGCUUAGCUGCAGUCCAAUACUCGCCUAAGUAUAAAAAAUCCUACCGAGUGGCGAGCAAUCCUCUCACUCGGGGGCUUAGCUGCAGUCCGGUACUCGCCUAGGUAUAAAAAAAUCAUACCGAGUGGCGAGCUAUCCUCCAACUCGGGGGCUUAGCUGCAGUCCAGUACUCACCUAAGAAUAAAAAAUCCUACCGAGUGGCGAGCAAUCCUCUCACUGAUACGUCUUCAACGUAUCUAUAAUUUUUGAUUGUUCCAUACUAUUAUAUUACCCGUUUUGGAUGUUUAUGGGCUUUAUUUUACACAUUUAUAUCAUUUUUGGGACUAACCUACUAACCGGAGGCCCAGCCCAUAUUGUUGUUUUUUUGCCUAUUUUAGUAUUUCAAAGAAAAGGAAUAUCAAACAGACUCCAAACGGAAUGAAACCUUCGGGAGUGUGAUUUUUGGAACGAACGUGAUCCAGAGAACUUGGAGUGCAAGUCAAGAAGCAGCCGAGGCGGCCACGAGGGUGGAGGGCGUGCCCACCCCUAUAGGGCGCGCUCCCUGUCUCGUGGGCCCCUUGGGCGGCCACUGACAUACUUCCUCCUCCUAUAUAUACCCACGUACCCCGAAAACAUCCAGGGAGCCAACAAAAAACAAUUUCCACCAUCGUAACCUUCUGUAUCCGCGAGAUCCCAUCUUGGAGCCUUCGUCGGCGCUCCGUCGGAGGGGGAAUCGACCAUGGAGGGCUUCUACAUCAACACCAUAGCCCCUCCGAUGAGUUGUGAGUAGUUUACCACAGACCUUCGGGGCCAUAGUUAUUAGCUAGAUGGCUUCUUCUCUCUUUUUGGAUCUCAAUACCAUGUUCUCCCCCUCUCUUGUGGAGAUCUAUUUCAUGUAACUCUUUUUGCGGUGUUUGUCGAGAUCCGAUGAAUUGUGGGUUUAUGAUCAAGUUUAUCUAUGAGGAAUAUUUGAAUCUCCUCUGAAUUCUUUUAUGUAUGAAUGAGUUAUCUUUGCAAGUCUCUUCGAAUUAUCAGUUUGGUUUGGCCCACUAGAUUGAUCUUUCUUGCAAUGGGAGAAGUGCUUAGCUUUGGGUUCAAUCUUGCGGUGUCCUUACCCAGUGACAAUAGGGGUUGCAAGGCACGUAUUGUAUUGUUGCCAUGGAGGAUAAAAAGAUGGGGUUUAUAUCAUAUUGCAUGAGUUUAUCCCUCUACAUCAUGUCAUCUUUCUUAAUGUGUUACUCUGUUCUUAUGAACUUAAUACUAGAUGCAUGCUGGAUAGCGAUCGAUGUGUGGAGUAAUAGUAGUAGAUGCAGGCAGGAGUCGGUCUACUUGUCGCGGACGUGAUGCCUAUAUACAUGAUCAUGCCUAGAUAAUCUCAUAAUUAUUUGCUUUUCCAUCAAUUGUUCGACAGUAAUUUGUUCACCCAUCGUAAUACUUAUGCUAUCUUGAGAGAAGCCACUAGUGAAACCUAUGGCCCCUGGGUCUAUCUCUUAUCAUAUUAGCUUUCAAUCUACUUUUAUUUGCACCUUUACUUUUCCAAUCUAUAUUUUAAAAUACCAAAAAUAUAUUUAUCUUAUCAUACUAUCUCUAUCAGAUCUCACUUUCGCAAGUGGCCGUGAAGGGAUUGACAACCCCUUUAUUGCGUUGGUUGCGAGUUCUUUGUUUGUUUGUGUAGGUGCAUGGGACUUUUGAGGAGCCUCCUACUGGAUUGAUACCUUGGUUCUCAAAAACUAAGGGAAAUACUUACACUACUAUUGCUGCAUCACCCUUUCCUCUUCAAGGAAAACCAACGCAAGCUCAAGACAUAGCACUCACUCGGGAGCUUAGCUGCAGUCCAGUACUCGCCUAAGUAUAAAAAAUCCUACCGAGUGGCGAGCAAUCCUCUCACACGGGGGCUUAGCUGCAGUCCGGUACUCGCCUAAGUAUAAAAAAUCCUACCGAGUGGCGAGCAAUCCUCUCACUCGGGGGCUUAGCUGCAUUCCAGUACUCGCCUAAGUUCGAGAAAUCCGACCGAAUGAUACGGGUCGACCACGACCCCUCCCCCCAGGGCUGCACCGUCAAAAAAAGGACGAGAUUGUGCGUGCUAUCAAAGGCUCAUACGACAGCCGACGCCAAGGCGAGCCGCUUUCAAGAACGUUAAGGCCAUUGCUGAAUGCCUCACUGAUGAGCUGAUCAAUGCUACCAAGACGAGCUGCUUUCAUGAGCUGAUCAAUCCAGCCGAGUGGUGCGGGUCGACCACGACCCCCCCCUCCGAGGUUGCACUGUCAAGAAGAAGGACGAGAUUGUGCGCACUGUCAAAGGCUCAUCCAACGGAUGGCGCCAAGGCAAACUGCUGUCAGGAACGUCAAGACCAUUGCUGAGUGCCUUGCUGAUGAGCUGAUCAAUGCUGCUCAAGGUUCGUCCAACAGGUCGACUGCGGAUUCUUCCUCAGAAGCUGCAUCGGAAGUACAAAAACCAAUCUGAGAGAAGAACAAAUUUCACUCGAAGAUAAACACAACAUAUUCAAAGAUAAGUCCAAAGGUUUCUAACCGCAGAUUAAAGUACUCGGGCGUCAGGCCCAAAGGAGUUUCCAUGAUUACAAAAUCACUUGGCAUUCCGAGGCAAAUGAGGACGAAGCAUAAUGUUUUUUCGGUCACUCGGCGGGAGAAGGUCUGGCUGGAUCGCAGAAGCUGUCAAGGUCGAUGCUUUCAGCAAUACGAGUGGCUGCCUCAAGGAAGGUGUCCAUGAAGGACUGGAAUGAGUGCUUCUUAGUAUUCACAACCUUGAGGGCCACCAACUUGUCUUCUCUAGCCUCCUUGCAGUGCACUCGAACCAAUGACAGGGCGAUGUCAGCGCCACAGUGAGCAGAUGACUUCUUCCGCUCUUGCACUCGGCCAGGAAUCUGAUUGAGUCGAGUCAUCAGCGACUCGAGGUCUUGAGAAAGUUCCGCCUAAGGCCAGAGUUCGGCGUCCACUUGGGUCAUCGCAGCCUUCAGUCGAGCCAGAUAGGCAACAUCACCGUCCAAGCGUGAUUCCAAUCACAGCAAGUUCAUCGGAACAUCAUCUUUCACAGGACAAUUGAUGGGGUCGAGACCUGUCUCGACCCGCCCAGUUUCAGCUUCAAAAUCCUGGCAAAGUUCUGUUCCAUCUUGAAAAAUAAUGAGUCGACAAUAUUACAACAUACUUCGAUCGACGACAAUUAACCAGUCGAGUGAUUGUACCUUCAAGCUUCAGAACUAGCUUCGCGGCAAGUUGUCCCAGAUAGGACUCUGGCUUGCCUGUCUUGGCUCUGAGGCCUCCAACUUCAGUGGUCAGGUUCUCCUUGUCCUUCUUCAGUUGCUCGACUUCUCGAUUGGCUUCCGAGAUGGCAAUCUUCAACUUCGCGUUCUCCUCUUCCAACUUGCCGACUGAAGCCAGCUUCUGGUCCGCAAGCGUCGUCUUCUCAGUUGCUUCCUUCUGAGCAGCAGCAAGGUCUUGGUCCUUCUUCUCCAAAGCUUCCUUCAUUCUAUCUAAAGAAACAACACUCUUCAGACGAGUAUGAAGUUGACGGUUUUCACACUCACAUCUGCUUGUGUGAAGUCACUCGGUUCAAAGAGACUGAAAGAAAAAGUAGUAAAAGACGCGAGCUACUAAGUAGGCAAGAGUCGAAUAGUUACCUCCCAUGAUGGCCGUCUCUUGUUGACACUACAAAAAAAUACACUUCUGUGCUGAUACGUGUUUGUCACAGUAGGUCACAUUUUCUUUCAUGCAUGUACAUCCAUGACGAUUUUAUGACAGAAUCAAGAUAGUCAUACCUGUGCCAUCGUAGAAGUGUUCCAUGACAUUACCAAAAUUAUCAUCACGGAAGUGUCCACUUCCAUGACGAUAAAUCACGCGUCACAGAAGUGCUUUCGUCAAGGGUGACUGACACGUGGCAUCCACCGUAACGGAACGCCGUUAAGCUAUCGGGUCGGGUUUUGGAUCCGAUAACCCGUUAACAGCCCCGACCAAUGGGGAUUUUCCACGUGUAAAAUCAUCAUUGGCUGGAGGAAACACGUGUCGGCUCAUCGUUGGGACAGAUGUCAUCCACUCAUUGGACAGAGGCGCCUAUGAUACGUCGACACGUGGCAUGGCCCGACAGAGGCCCAUUCCUGUGAAAAGGACGGCCCGUUUGACUUGGUCAAAAGAUGGCGGGCCGGCCCAUGUAAAGCCUGUUCACGGCAUGUUCGCAUAUAGCCCAUUUACAGCCCGCUAACCCAAGGCCCGUUAUGCCCUAUCCAAAUUAGGCCCAGUAGCGUCAUCUGGGCCAUCCAAUAUGAUUCCAGCCCAUUUUCACUUCUGGCCCAUGACGUCUUUCGUCCCAUAUGAGGCCCUAUGUAACUCUUGGCAUAUUAACAGCCCAUGGUGAAACUGGCCCAUAAUGAAUAGUGUAUCACUUUACACCCAUUAACGGCCCGUGGUGAAACUGGCCCGUAAUGAAUAGUGUAUCACUUUAUACCCAUUAACGGCCCGUUAUUCCGUUGGGCCGUUUCCAGCCCAUGUUAUCUUUCGGCCUUCUCAGAGCCCAUUUAUUCUUGGGCUCAUUUCCAGCAUUCGUUUACUUACGGCCCGUUACUGUCAUUUUCUGCUUGUGGGCCAAAUUCAGCCCGUGGUUACAGUCGGCCCGCUUGUGGUCCGUUAAUACGUUGGGCCGUUUUCAUAGUGUCAUCAAAUAUGGCCUAUUAACGAUGGCCCGUUAUGGUCGGCCCAUGAACGGACGAUUCCAACUCUAGCCCGUUUACGGCCAUAUUGCGGCCUGUUAUUGGCCCAUGUUUGGCCAAUCGAUCAUACUGCCCGUAUAUGGCCCAUCGAUAAUACAGCCCGUAGAAGUCCCAUUGUUUCUACGGCCCGUAGAAGGACCAUUGUUUCUACGGCCCGUAGAAGGCCCACUGUUUCUACGGCUCGUAGAAGGCCCACUGUUUCUACAGCCCGUAGGAGGCCCAGUGUCACUACAGUAAAUAUUAGCCCAUGGUUUUUGUGGCCUAGUUUUAAAAAAUAGGUUAUUGCAGCCACUAGCAAACCGUGAAAAAAGACUGCUAUGACUACACGCAAACAAAUAAACAAGACAACAAGGAAAUAAAUAGGCAAGCAACUUACGCUAGGCUAUCACGGCUAUCACACAUAUUACAUCCACUGGGCAUCAAAGUUCACCGCCAGUGCAAAUAAACGCGCCGACAAAAGAAUAUACAAAACUGAGAGCACUUCAGAAGGCACUAGGCCUGGCCAGGUCGGGCCCCCAAACAGCUGAAGAAGCUGAGUAGACCUCAGUUGUGUCAACGAUAGAUGCAUCAACACUAGAUUUAAGGCAUGAUGGUGCGCACGGCAGUCCUCUGACAUCUUCAUUGCAUCUGUGACUUCAAGUCGGAGCUGAGCUGAAGCAAGCCUUUCCGCUUUAAGUUGAGACUGAAGAAGUCGAACUGAUUUGAGGCAGCGACUGCAUAGAGGUUGUCUCACACCUGCUGGUGAGUAGCUUCAACUCACUGUCUUCAUCAAGACAGGACCUUGGGGUCAUCUCGCUGUCCUCAAGAUGGUUUGGCUCACUAUCUUCCCAAAAGUUCUGCCUGGCGUAAGAGAUAUGACUCUGAAAGAGAAACAAGAAGACAUGUAACAGGUUUCACAAUUAUAUAAGAAAAUAAAUGGAUCUAUUCUGCAUAAGUAACAUGUUUUUACAACUACAAUUUGAAACUGGUAGUUGUUGCAAACAUCCAAUCAGAUGUAAACAGCAAAGCAAACAGCAGUGGAGGAAAUGAUGCCUAUCCAAAUCUAUACUAGAACAAAGUUUGAAGGCUUGAGAAGGAUGAACUUACAUUGCAUGUUAACACGGGCUGGACAAAGCCCCUCCAUGUUGAUGGAAGGAUAAUUCAAUAAAUUCCCCAAAGAAAAUUCUUUAUAAGUGUUGCCAUUAUUCUACAUUUUGCAAAUAGUAAAUAUAGAUCACAUAAUAUUGGAAGAAACAGAGGAUAAUGAAGCUCAGGUGCAGACUGAUGAUACAUAAUCAAAUAGCAAUUAAUUAAGUACAAUGUUACAAGGCAAAAGGGAGAGAGGUACUGACAAGAGCAAUGCAGAGCCCAUUAUUGUUUUGAGAUCAUAUGAUCCUUUGAGCAAGGAGAUUCAUCUGAAAUUAGUUUUCAUACAAGAGAGAAGGUAAGGCACAAGCAGAAAGUUAGGAGUUCAAAUUUUGAAUUGAUAUCAUAGACAGUACCUGACGCUGGGCUCCCAGCAGUUCUAAUAGGGGUUUGGCCACUGGAGUAGGGGUAAAGUGUGGUACAGUUGGGCCUGUGUUUUCUGUGGCUGCUGAUCUAUCUGAUUUAACAGGUAUCACUACCUUUUCCAAAUACCUAGUUUGUACUCGUUGAGGAUCUGCACUCACCCUCUUACUUUUGGAUAUCUAUUACGAAAGAACAACAUUUGACUGAAAAAACAUAGUGUGACGACACAUGGAAAAGGUACAGAAAAUGGAUAGGUAUGGCAUAUACUCAUAUAUGAUGCUUAAACUAAGCAGAUGGUGUAACAAAGUAGAAGUAAUGCAAGUGGUCAGAUGCAAAAUAUGUGCUACCAAUACAACUUUGCAAAGUUAGAGCAAGCACCUUGAUGGGUGAAUAAGAUAGGCCAUCCUCCACCAUGCCAUGUUUGUUAGCCAGUGGAUUGUUCCGCAAUAUUCCUCUCAUGCGCCCAUUCUCAUAUUCAUUUUGAUAAUGUUCAAUAUCUAACAUGCAUGAAAACAUAAAAACAAGCAGUGGCGGAGCCACGUUGAACCAUUGGGUUCAGAUGAACCCAAUGAAAUUUUCUACCUACGUGCAUGUCAUGUACACAUAUUAGACCUGACACCAAUCAAAAAAUUAAGCCUGACCCCAUCAACCAGCUAAACGCCACAAGAUUAGACAAAUAAAAAUGCCCAAAAGCCCAGGCAUCUUUGUUACACGAUAUCUCAAAAAAGAAAAAGAUCAAUCAAUACCUGUACAAGGAAUAAACGGACGGCAGCCGCACACCUCGUCACUUUCCAACUUGCCUCGCCUCUCUCUCCCGUCUCACCCAGAUUUCGUUAGGCCGUCACUUCGGUCCUCACCUGGACGCCCACGCCUGACGGCAGAUAGCGCAGAAGCGCUCAACUGCAGUCUAAUUCGAGGCAGUAAGAUCACCUCCACAUCUCUUCCCUCUGAACAUUCUACCCAAUCUAAAUCUAAUAGCCUAGUACGGGAACCUUUUGCCCUAAUUUUCUAAUUCUUAUGUUCGUGGACUUUGAUUGAUGUAGGCUAUGGAAAGAUAUUUUUCAAAGAAGAGAAGUCGAUCACCUGAUCUCGAUAAUGAUGUGGGGGCAUCGAGGUUACCCAUUAGAUGUAAGAAAAGUGCAUGGAAUGUCGCAAACAGUAGUCUCCCAAAGACUUCUAUCCACACAGAGAUUAAUUAGAUCAGUUGCCCUACAAUCCGGCUGAUCGAAAGAGAAUUUGGGAGUACACAAGAAAUCCUAAGAAGCAAGAUGAGAUUAGGUGCUGAUAUUUAAGGCGGGGACCUUACAGGCCGCCGUCUACUUUUGUUUAUCCACACAGGGACAUUGGAGACACUCCACGGAGAUUUAAUCCAGACUGGUUUAAAGAUUAUGGUUGUUUUGUUGCUAUCUUUUCAGAGAUAAUAAUGAGGAACAAGCCGGGAGUGAUGCAUUUGGAAUUAAGGGUUGGAACAAGAAAAGUAGGCUGGAUACCCAUGAGGGUAAAGGUAAUGUUAAUAGCUUUCAUAAUGUAGCAGUAAAACAAUGUGAUGCUUUGAUGAAUCAAGAUCUAUCAAUUCAGGCUGCUCUCGAUAAGCAAACUGAUCUUACAAAAAAGCAAAAUUGAAUUCAGCUUAAUGCUUCAAUUGAUUCAGUUAGAUACUUGUUGCAUCAAGGCUUAGCUUUCCGAGGACAUGAUGAAACAGAAGAGUAAAAAAACGGGAACUUUCAACAGUUGGUAAAGACUUUGGCAAAUCAAAAUGAUGAUAUACGGAAGGUAGUUCUUGAGAAUGCUCCAAAAAUUGCAAGUGGGUAUGUGGAGAUAUUCAGAAGGAAAUUGCCAACUAUUUUGCCAAGGUAACGUCCUGGUUAAAUUAUAUUUCCUACUAUUUUUGUUUUCUGAAAAGUUACACUAAUCUCUAAUGAUGCCCUUAUUGUUAUUUCUUCCAUGUUUUCCGAAAGAUGAGAAGUUGGAUCUGAAAUAUGAAGUUUAUUUUGGUACUACUUUAUCUAUAAUUUCAUCCGAUCGGUAUGUUAUGCACUCUUAAUUUUUUUCAAAGUAACAAAUAUGUGUGAUAAGUGAUAUCAUAUUCAUAUUCAUAUUCAUUAUGCUGAUUUUGACUGAUAUAAUCUCGUUGCAAUAUGUCACGAAGUGAGACUUGGUUCACUAAAAAAAUCACAACUAGUUAGUGAAUGAACCCAUUGACGAAAAUUUCUGGCUCCGCCCCUGAAAACAAGUGAGAUUUCUUUGUAAUGCAGAAGUGAUUCUAAUCCAAUACUGCCUCCCUGUAAACCCCUUUGUGCUAUCUUUGCAAUUCUUUUAAAAGAUGCCAUGCAUGCUGUAAUUUGUUGUGUGCAUUAAUAUAAUGUGGCCUACUACUCAAAAUAUGAGAGCUCCAGAAGUGAUGACACUUCACAGAUGACAACUUCAACAUAUAGUAAAGAAGAACAAGUCGACCUGACCUGACAGAUUCAAGAUAUACUAAGGGAGAACAACUCGAGCUGACCAGUCGACCGCAAGAGAAGAGUAUCAUCUUAAGGAAGAGCAGAAGAGCAAGCAGAUUGAAGAUAUUACAAGUCUUUCAAUACAAUGCCGGUUGGCCACCCAUGAUGAACCAGAGCGCAAAGAGAAAUACUAUUCUUUUCGGUCUCUCCAUAUGUGGCUCACAUGCAUUUCGAAACUAAAGUAGGAACAUUUAGCUAACCAAUUAAACAUCUCUCGGUUUUACUAAUAUCAGCAAUAAUAUCAGAUAUGAAUUUGUACAACUAAGCUUGUUUAGCUCGUUGGGUGGAGCAGUGCUACUACAACAUGAACCACGUAGGCUGAUUGUGGUCAUCAUAAAAUGGGGAAAACAUAAGCAUGAUGAGUACAGUGUUGACUGUGGCAGUGGGAUGGCAGAUCUGAAGCUACAAACCGCGCAAAGGGUAGUUAGCAACCGAUGUUUGCUUUGAAAUAACAACUAAGAUUUGGUAUGGACAAGAAAGUACGGUCAAUAAGUGACAAACAAAUGCAAUUAUGCUGUCUCUCUAUAUGUGGCGACAUGCAUUUGGAAACUCAAGUGGGACCUUUAGCUAACCAAUUAAAUGUGUUGGUUAACUAAUAUCAGUAUCAUAUCACAAUCAUAUUUGAACAACUAAGCUUUCGAAUUCUGAGUGUUGUGUUGUUUAGCUUGAAGGGUGGAGUAAUGCUAGUACGCAAAAAGUACCUACGCAGAUCAUAGUAUAGUAGAUAAAAGGGGAAAACCCUAAGCAUCAAGAGAAAAACCAGGAAAGUGGAACUAGCUGGACCAGUGGGUGGCGCACAUGCUUUUCGAAAUGAGUAUAGGAACAUUAGGUGACCAAUUAAACAUUCUCUGUUUUAGUGAUAUGAGCAUCAUAUCAGAUUCGUAUUUCAACACGUAAGCUUUGGGUUGAGGUCUUGAGGAGUAGUGCUAGCACGACACGAAGCACCUACGAUGAUGGUAGUGAAUAUAAAGGGGGGAAACCAUAAGCUUUACGAGUAUAGUGGCCAUGCCAUGGCGGAUCUGAAGGUGCAAACCGGACAAAGCUACUUCGCAACCAAUAUUUGCUUUCAAUACGGACAAGAAAAGUAAAGUAAACAAAUUAUGAUGUAUUUUCCGGGUGAGAUCAAUAACUUAAGCACAUAUGGAAGAGUACCACCUCUCUUGCGACGCCGUGUAGGCCUAUGCUGAUACGUUGAGGGUUCUAUGGGUGCGAUGGCUGUUGAUGCCGGGGAAGAAGACUUUAGAUGGCAAACGGCCGGGUCGGGGGAUAUAUCCUAUUGCCGUGGACGAGGCGGUCGUAGGAGCGGCAACGACAAGGUGGACGACGGCACCGAUGAAGCGAGAGGAGGCAAUGAAAGGAUCCUGGUCCAGCGCUGUGGAUGAGAGACGUCCAUCUCUUGCAGUGGACGACGGGGUAGGGGUAGUGGCUCCGGAAAGGUGGAGGAUGGGGUGGCAGACGAAGGAGGCUGGCCGCAAUGCGGAGGUUGUCGUGUCGCCGAUGGUGUAUGAAUGGGGAAAUGGAGGGGAGGGGGGGAUCUCAACUUUGGGACGCGCUUCUCUGAAAUGGGGAAAGUUACGAACUUAUCCCCCGUUUAAAAUUUCGGACAUUGCGUCGGUUGGGGAUAGGACGGUAAUCUCGCAUCUCCAAAUAUUUGUCGGUAACUAUUUCGGGCAAGGAGAGGAUGUUUUGCCGCCCAUGGUUGGUGCCCAUGGUGUAUGAACGGGGCUGACAGGUAGGGCGGUUGUGUCACGUCUGAUGGAAGUUACACAUCUGCCCCUAUUUAAAAUAUUAGCCUACAUCAAUUUCGGACGAGGAGAGUUUGUUUUGUCGUCCACCGUGUAUGAAUGGGGAAAUGGAGGAAGAGACACAUGUCUUUCGGACGAGCUUGAAUCAAAUGUGUUUUGCCGCCCACGUUUGGCGCCCAUCGUGUCUAAAUGGGCUCAGAGGCCAUCGUGUCACGUCUGAUUAAUGUUACUAGUCUACCCCUAUCGACAGCAGUGUAAAUCCGGUCGAUAAGGAUGUCAAGUGUUAGGGGUGCACAGUAAUUUCCAUCUCACAAAUACUUGCUUCGGGUAGCCCACAAAUUAUAGUGGGUGUUUAGCCGCUUCGUUCAAAACUUGGGAGAAUUAACAUUCACAUUUGCCCUGGGCCCUGGCAAACUAAAUUCAAAUCCAAUUUGUAUUCGAUUGCGAAUAUCCAUAGAUAAUUAUACAUUUUGUUAUUUAUUUAUUUAAAACCACAACAAAGAUUUAUUCCACCUUUAUAUAUGAUUAUGAUUUAGAAAUGCAUGAUCUUCGAAUUCAGUAGGUUGGGUACACUCUGAGUCAAACAGUUAUUUCAUCCAAUACAACAUGCUCACAAAAAAAACAGUUCACCUUAUGUCAAUCAUACAAGUAUUGAGGAUUACCUCGCCUAAAAAAUCCAGAUCAUUACAACACAUGGACAACAUAGGGGGUCUUGUAACAUAAUCCAUUCAGAGACAUGACACAACAUGCAAGUACAAUGAUCUAAUGACAAUUUCAACUGGUAUCUAAAGAAGAACCAGGAUUACCUUGGGCUUCAGAUAGCAGAAACAGCAGGACCUCCUCCGUCUUCAAAUGCAACAUUCUUACUUCCUCCAAUUCUUGGGUUGCUUGCAUAAUGCGUGCUACUAAUUCCGUAAUUUCUAGCCUCAAGAUAAAGAUUACCUCAUUCAUGGCAGCCACACCAUCUCUUUCUGCCUCUAGUAGAGCCUCAAGCACUAUAAUAUAUGUGCUCAGACUGCUCUCCAGCGGUGUUGCCUCUAAACUGCUACCAUCUGGUAACAUGGAUGGCGCAUUGCUUCCACAAAUAGAUUCUGGGGUUGUACAUUGUGUCCUAGUGUGAACAACAUCCUGAAAGGUUUCCGCUGGACAUAAGUAAGAGAUAGUUAUCGAAUGAUCCAGGCAGUAAGCUUACAUGGUAAACGACAGGCGAAUUAUUGCCGAACAUGGCAAACUAUAUUUAAAUGGUUCGAAGCACCAUCAGCCGAAAAGAAAUUAAAAUGGUAAGAUGAAACUAGGGAUGUAAGUGGCAAAUAAACGACAUCCACCAGUCCCAUCUAGUUAGUUUUUGCUACCUCCCUAGUUCAUUAUCCUCAAAAAACAAAAACUCUUUUGAACUAUCAUACCACUAGUGGACUUUAAUCAGGAUUAAACGGGACCCAGUUGACAUCCCUAGUUGAAGGGAGUGUACCACCGCUAUAUUUAAGUUGCCAAGGCAUCUUAGCAGUUGAAAUAAUCUAAGAAAGCACUUAACAGUGUGGCCUCAUAUAAACUACGAAGACAGUCUUGUGAUGAAGUUGAGAGGAAAAGUUAAGGACUCAAAUGAAAUAGGCAUGCAUUUCUUUACGAUAGUACAUCAGGCACUGCUGACAUAUUGGCCAACUCAGGUAUAGCGUAACAACAAGCAUUUGAAUCAAGCAAUACAACAAAGCAGACAACUGAACUAUUUGUAAUUCGCUAGGAUUACAGGUUGAGGGCACAAGCCAAGAAAGCAGCCCACUCGCAUUACAUUUCACAUGUACUAAAACACACUGGAUUACCAUAUGUUUCUGUGAAGCCUCGCUGCUGUUGCAAUGUUCUUUGAAGAUAUCGUCAGCAUCCCGUGGUUGCAAAUCUAGUUGUUGUAGUUUAUUCCGCACCCUCUAUUUAGGUAAAAUUAAUUUUAAUCGCAUGCACUGGUCCGAAUUUAUCAUCAACGGUUCAUCUAAACUAAUGAAAGAAGGGUGUGUGCAUACACGACAAUAUAUCUGCUUCCCUCUAUUUUUAUGCUUGUUCGAGGUGCCAGCCCCAAAAGAACAAAUAUUUUGCUUGAUGGGGUUGGCAGCUCCAUAAUUAAUAGAAGCAUCAAAUUAGUCAUGCAACUUGGGAAGAUCAAGAACACACAAACAAGUAAUGAAUAGAGGCUCGGAGCAGUGAUGUAAUAGCUAGCAUCAGAAAAUGUAGGGUAAAACAAACAAAAAGCAGCGGAACCACAUGCUAGUUUGCUGAUGUGUAAUUAAGCAUAGAGAACAUUAAGCAGUCUGAUGGAACCAACAGGUGGCAUCAGAACAAAACUAAAGCAUAUUAACUAUAUGUGCACUGGUAUGUAAUUUAGCACAUGUAACAUGUUCACUGCCAGAAGUAUGGCCCUACAGGUGCAAGCAAAAUAACGCGUCUCAUGAAAAACUGAAUGAUGCCCUGAAGAAAUUCAAAGGUGCGGUGCUUAUGCUAGGAAAGUGAACAUAGGCGCCGGCCGUUGGAUAAUAGUACCUGAUUCUCGGUGGCGUAUGGGUAUCGUUGUCAUACUUGAUAGCUAAGGAUCGUCGAUGGUGCUCGUGUUGCGGUUGAGUUUGGGCCGGCUGUCACCGUCGCUGAAGCGGCUCCGGUGCUACGGUUGUGGCGCCUGUCGACAUACAAGAAAGCUCAUCUGUGGUAAGUGAACAGUUGCACGAUAAAGAGAAAAAACGAAGGAAUACAAAUCGAAAUAACCUGAUGAGGCUGUGGCGUCGGUAAAGCAGGGCCGGUGGAGUUGAAUAUGGCGUUCGUGGAGCGGGUCCGGUGCAGUGGACGAAGGCUUCGGCGGGCGCGUUGUACAGUGCUUUCGGUGAGACGGAUCUGUUACGGUGGACGAGGGCUUGUAUGAAGGGCCAGUGAAGGGGCGGACGAGGGAGUUAGUGAAGGGCCUAUGCUGUGGUGGACGAGGGAACCGGUUAAGCAGAUCUGGUGCGGUGGACCAUGAUGGCGGUCAAGGAGAUCUGGAGCGGUGGACAAGCCAGUCGCUGAAGCGGCUCCGGUGAAGUGGUGAGUUGGCAGUUGGGGGUUCCAAGGUGCGGAAGGAAGAUCCGGUGGGGUGUGAGGUCCACCGCUGCGGCGGAGGACUAGAUUCAGCAGCUUGCCAUGGUUGGGGGGGAGUCGGGGAGGGGAAGGGGAUGAGCUAUGGGGAAGAAUGUUGGGGGCAAAGAGGGGAAAACAAUGGAGUUACGAAAGUAGCCCUUUUCCAUUCAGGUGGCAGGGGUAAAAUAGGAAUAUCACAGGGCUAAACUUUCGGGCGCGUGAUAUUUCGAUGUGAGCGGGGAGUUUGAAAGCUUUUGGCGCCUAAAAUUAUAAGUAUUCUGCUCUCGUACGGCCGACUAUGAUAUCAUGGCCGACAAUUUGCUUGUUUUGCAAGCAAAAAAAAUGUGCAAGUUUUGAAAAUCAAUGUCUCCAACUCGAAACUUAGAUUGUCCAUUCAAUUCAAAUAUGGAUCAUUGAGCUACUACAAGAAAAUACCAUCAUACGGUCCAAUUCGAAUGAAAUUCCAAAUGUGUUUAUCCUAAAUAUGAUGACAAAAGCAAAAAUGUGUAUGUGUAUGAAUAAAGUGGAUGACUAUAAAGUUUGAACAUGCCCGUAUGUGUAUAUCUCUAGGUUUGAUAUAUGAAUUUGAAAUCAUGAAAUCCCGAUUUAAAAAAUGUACCUCUGUUUAAAUGAAUUACAAAAGCUAAUGAUGGAGUCGAAUUCCAAAAUUCCAAUCUUAGGUUUGUAAUUCUGAUACAUCAAGGUAUAUCACGCAUGUUUAAAAGUAUUGUUAUCUCAUAGUACAAACUAUGAAACAAAUUGAUCAACCAUGAGUGCACAAUAUCUCAAUUACGCUAAAGUCCCUCAAAUAUAGACACCUCACUCUUUAUCUGAAGUCAAGCCCCCCCCCACCACACACACACACACACACACACACACACACACAUAGAGAAGUCGUUCUCUCCCCCAAACACCAACAGCAUUAACACCCCUCUCUCUUGUAAAGUCCGGACCCCAACAUAGGUCUCUAUCACUUUGUCUCUCAGGCAUGCACACAUCUCUUCCCUCACUCUCUAGGUCUCCCGCCAUCUCUCUUACCCAAGCACACGCACUAUGUAGAGUGUAUAUUUCCCAUACACAGGAAACGUCGCCCCCAAACGUCUAUAUCCCUAGUUAUGUGGUUCUCGCGCACUCACCUCACACACCACCCCCACUGCAAACAAGCACGCUUUGUCUCCUUGUGCACUACUCUCCUCUUUCUAUCUCUCCCACAUGCGGAUCCGCCCCAGCUCCUUCCUGUAUACAUAUAUGUCGUGACUCUUUGCAUAGCUCCCUAAUGUAUAAUCGUUCUCGAUUUCGCACAUUGUUCUUUACACCAUCUAUUCUAGAUCUCUCAUGAAGUCCCUAUCACACACACGAUGACUCGCUUCCCUUGCUUCUCCGUUCAUAGGCCAAUUUUGGACAACAUCAACAUUGUCUCCCUAUCUAUACGCCAUUUAUGGACACAAAUGACCCCUCUCGCCCCCUCUCUUCCUCUCUAUCUCUCUCCGUCGCUAUCUCUCUCUUUCUCUCGCUCUCACACCCCUCUCCCACGCACACACACUCGAUGUCUCUUCCAAAUAGUCUGCUCCCCCCGCCUGCACCCGUGUUAUCCCGCUACUACACAUGUCACACCAUUCCCCCUUCCCUUAUACUAGGUUUACAUCAUCAGUGGUCUCUCUACUCCACAUACACUCUCUCCCUCUCACACACAAACGCGUGCACAAACACACACAGACAUGCACAAACACCCAUUUAUCUGGAUCCUCAUCUCUCCCCAUGUCUGCAUGUGUAUCUCACACACUCACUCUCUAAUUAUGUAUAUGUGUCUCCACGUUACACAACACAAAGUCCCAUGUACAUGUCUCUCUCUAUCCUCCACACACAUAGACACAAAGAAUCUAUUAUCAUUGCCUCAGUCUCUAACAUAUCACACACGCACACUGUCUCUCUCUCUCUCUCUCUCGCAAACAUGCUCAACAAGGGUUUCCUCGUGAAUAACUUACCAUCUAUUCAUCAACAGUCGUGGCAGUACGGCGAACAUGAGACGUGAAAAAGAAUAAAUCUACACAUGCUUAGACCACCUAGUAUGACUACUAGGACUAGAGCAAGCCAAAAAAAGCGCUGUCGUCACCCCCUCCUUGUCAGCGACGGGAAAAUCUUUGUUUUACACAGUCGAGAAGUCAUUGUGCUAAGGCCCCACAUGCCGAGGCGUUGAAUAGAAUGUAGAUGCUAGUUUACGGAAGCAAGUAUCGAUAAUACGUUUGUAUCUCCAUACUUAUAUUUCUUCUCUUAUAAAAAAUCGAGUUGGUGAUGAUGGUACGUGUGCCAUUUUGCAAUAUAGACCGUCCGAUCUAUAUCUGACGGAUGGAAAUUAAACUAAAAGAUACCCGCACCCCUCUCCACAUUUGCAGACAAGGCCUUCCCUCGUCCAUCCUUAUCUCCAACAAACCUCAUUAUUGAGUAAUUAAGAAAGGAAGCCUCUGGAACAAAUUGACCUGGUGGCCGCUGCCAGCGUCGUCAAUCCCCAUGCCUCCGCUCAGUCCGACCACCAACCACCACCACACCCCACUCCUCUUCACCUUAUCUCAUAUUUCUCGAGAUAUCAUUAGUUUUUACACAUGGGAUUACUUCCGCAAGGGUCAAUCACACCAAGUGUUUUAUAAAAAAAUGCAUCUUGAUGUUCUGUGCAAUGCACGGAUCUUGCUAGUACUCCUAAACAAGACUAAGUUGGUGAUGCUGGUGUGUCUGCCAUCCGUCGUUUCUGACCAUUAGAUCUACAUCUAACGAUUGUGAGGUAAGUUGUUGCCUUUUUUCACCAACAUCCCACUUGUCUACCAAUUUGCAAAAAAACCCAUAAUUAGUAUCUUAAAACCAACCACAUCCCUCCCUGACCUCACCAAAACAACCCAAGGAAUAUAUUCUAAUUGAAACAUAAUAUAUCUCUAGUGACAUAUGUAUAUCAAAAUUAGAGUGUUUUGUACCAAGUUUGUGAAUAAGUAUUAUUCUAAUUAUGAUUCGUUGCAACGGACAUGAACAUUACUAGUAUUUCCAACCAUGCAUUUUUUCCUAGUAUUCCACAGUUUUGAGUUUUCCAUGAAGAUAUUAGUAACUCAUGGUUGAUAUUUACUUUCAAUCAUGUACACAUAUGCGCUAUGUAACUAGCCUUGCUUAUUGGCUUCCAAAGCUUAACUUUCACUCCUACUUACAAUAUGUAGAGUAUUUAACAAAAAACUACCACUUUCAACCAGCCCUAGGAAGAAUCUAUUGUACAAAAAAUAGCAAAAACAUACCCAAAAUUUCUUAAUCCACGCUAAAAACUACUACCUAGUACUCCUACCAAUUAGGUUCGUUUAAACCCAUUUAUGACAGGGUUGGCCCACACGUCCAUGCUGACGAGGCAGCUUAAACCAACACAUUUUGUUUGACCAUUGACACAAGGGACCCAUAUCUGACCUUCUAUCCUGUUAUUCCCCCUCAAAUCAUUAUUUUUUCUGAACAUUACUUCAAACAGUACUGAUGCGUGUUCGUCGGUGGCGUCGGUGAUGAGCGAGUUGGCCGCCGCUCUGCCGGACGGGCCGGAUGCCGCGCUGGCCUCCACACGGGUUGGCAGGCUGGCCCGAGCGUGACUCACGAGUGAGCAAGCCGCCACGCUAGCCUUCGCUCGAGCCAGAUGGCUGGCCUUAGCGCGGCGCGCGCGAGCAAGCCGCCGCGCUGCUGUGCCAAUCUAGAUAGCAAACCUUGCAGACAAGCAGCUGGACGGAGCUAUCUUGGCUAGAUAGCGGCCGCGAGGGCCGGACGGAGCUGGCAUCCGGGCUGCCGCAACAUGGGCUCUGCACCGCCGACGGUUUUGACCUCGCCUUCUGCCGGCGGCGGUAGCUGCGUCCCAUGUCCGAGGAUGACUAGGAGGACGGGCCGGAGGUAGGAGGUCACUCGAGGAAUUUUGUUGGUAAGAGCAUGUAAAAUGGUUGAUAAGGUAGUCUUAUCUUAAGUCUGCCACGUAUGCAAGUGGUAGUAGUUUCUUGGCAUUUUAGUGGUUUCUUGCAUUAUUAGGGGUUUCUUGUAAGGAACAAUGUACGUACUACUAGCGACAAAAGGCGAUUCUAGGUUGCGUUGUACUCCAACGAGUACUACUAGUGGUCGCAGGAGUGUAUACCUCGUUUUGUGGGUUCGAUCCCGGCCGAACACACGUCGGCCUUUUUUUUAAAUAGUACUACUACACUUUGCUGCAAGCCAAUAUUUUACACGGGUAGUUUGAGUUUUGAAGUCAAACAGAUAUGCGGCCCCACAAUCUGGGUGCACUGGAUAGCCUAGCCACAUGAACGGGUUUUCCUUCCCAGCAUCCCGUGGCUCGCGUGCUCGCCCUAGCCGCACCUCGCUUGCAGCUUCCUCAUCGGCUAGUAGCAUAUUUAAACAAGCGCCUCCCAGUUAAGCCCGAGGAGUCGGAAAAGCCUGGCAGGGCAUUGGGAACUGUGCAAUAUGGCUCUGUACGUAAAGUGCUCUACUACUACUCUCUAGCUUGUGGUGUUGCACGCAUGGACUUCACUCCAUUAUCGGCUAUACUAUAAAAGAAAUUCCUAUUGACGUGUUUUUUUGAAAUGGAGGCAAAAACUUUGCUUCAUCUCAUUCAUAAAGAAGGAACUACUAACAAAGUUCGACAAGAUCCGUUACACCUCCACAAAUGGAAGCAAAAAGCCUAGUCUCGCCGUAUCAAAUAACUCAAAUAUUCUACCCCCGCAGUAACCGUCACUGAUAAACAGGCUGCUAGUGUGUGCGUGAGAGGAGCGGCUGAGUAGGCCAGCUACGUGAGAGGAGCGGCUGAAUAGUGCACCGAGAGUACCCACUAGGCCACUACGCAGGUGUACUUUCCCUGUAUUGAUAGUACAACGAUGGUUCUAGAGAACGGUAGUACCCUCCACUUCCAACUGUAGCUCCUUGGCCCUGAGAUUCAAGAGUUCAAAACUGGUGCACUAUACUAGAACUAGACAAGAAGUACAGUACAUCGCACUACUAGUUGAGAAAAGUAGUACUAGUACUACUACAGUACGAGUACGUACUCCUCCGUCAUAUUAUGUAAGACAUUUUUUGACACUAGUUGGCGUGUACAAAAAAUGGCAAAAAUAUACCCAAAAUUUCUUAAUCCACGCCAAAAACUAAUACCUAGUGCCAACAAUUUCUUACUAGUGCUAUUAUUUAUAGUAUAAUGCAAUCACAUAACGUUCCAUAAUGCUAGUACUAGUAGUAAAUAAUAGCCUCACCCCUUCACUGAGGAAUGAUCUACAGUUGGAAGGGACGAGACCCUGCGGUUAGUACGCUCUUAUCUCCUCCUCGCCAGUUCCCCUCCCCCCGAAGAGAAGGCAGUUCGCCGCUGCUCCCAUGGAUUCGCCAGGCGGUUCUCCUCCUGGUCGGGGCUGGGAAACCUUGGACGACGAUCCCCUGGGAGAAAUUGCAUGCCGCUCCGAUGUCCUCACCGCCGCAAGACUCAGUGCUUCCUGCACCAACUUUUUCAAGAUGCUACUUAAACAGGCUUGGGAAAAGGCCAUGCUUGGUGGUCUUCCAUGUGUCCUCGAGGAGAAGGUUCUUCUAUGGGACAAUCCUUCGAACAGUCCACCGCUCACUGGCCAUGGUUGCACGUUGACUCCGCUAGAGUUGCCGACGUUGAGAGGUAGUCGGAUUUUGUCCGAUGAGCAGGUCAGUAAUGGAGUUUGAUCAUGUAGUACUUAGUUAUUCCAUUUCCAUCCCGUAAUUUCUCCGCUGCCCACCUUCUUAUAUAUAGGACUUGGUCGGUGCCAACGAAGAUUGGCUUGCAUACCUCCAGCCAAAUACCACCAUCAUUUUGCACAACAUCCACAACAGUGCGGCCGUUCCGGUAGACCCCUUCUCCACCAUUGGGAUCGGCCUUCCGGACUAGCUGGGCUUGAAUACGUAUGAUGAUGCCUACAUGAGAUUGAAGAAUAUAGCAAUUGUGGACCCGCCGACAAAGUGGCGCGGCUACAACGAUUACUAUCUCAUCGUGGUGUUUGACAUAAGGAUUGCCAUCAAUGCAAGAGGUAGUAACGGCAGAGGCUGGCGCAUGUUGGCGGCGGCAUAUUUGUACCCCUACACAUUCGAAGACGCCAUGCGCCAUCUAGGCCGUAUCUUCGCGGUGACAAGCCAGGGGACUUGUUUCAUCUGGUUGCCAUCCUACAGUACGGCAGAUUACAAACGGAAUGCACAAACCAUCAUUUGCAUCCCUAAUGGUACUCCAUUAUUUUGCAGGGACCAGUCAUCCCCCGAUGAAAAUAAGAUCGCCGAUCCUGGAUGUGCAUUUGCAUCCGCGAUUCGGUCUAACCUGGAACCUUGUAGCCGACUUUGGCAUAUUGGGAUCAACAAUCUUAGCAGUCGUUACCCAUGGUACCACUGAUGUGCAACAUGGUCACACAAUCUACCACGAUCGGACCGUCACCAUCUACCCAGGUAUUCCAUUUUUUAACCCUCUCGCCUUCUCUUUCAUUGUUGUACUAGUAGUAUACUUAGUAGUACUAGUAGGAGUACUUUUUACCUUGGAGGACGCGUAUAGCUAGCUAGGCCCUUGAAGACUUGAACCCACUAGCUUCCACCAUUUUUGUUUAUCCAUGUCUUACUAUCUCAUCCAUGUAGCCAAGAGUGGCUAUAUAUAAUAAGACGGUUAUUUUACUUCCUCUAUACCGGAGUAGUACUAUUUGCUGCACAGUAUUAUUGACCACCAUAUUUGAGCACAACAUUAUUAUGCAUGGACCUUGACUAUUUAGGCCACCAUGUGUCCAGAUCUGGGAUGCUACAUGUACCAGAUGAACGGCGCCGAGUUCGACCCCCGUGAUGCUACGUGGGUGCCGAGGAACACUCUUGGAGAGUACUCGCUUUUCAUCGGGGACAGCUACCCCAUUGUGAAGCGGAUGCCACCUUCCGUGCACGACACGGAAGGCCUGCCGUUCAUGAAGCAUGGUUGUGUCUUCAUUGCGCACCGCCAGAUGAACGACAUGCUGGGACACGCUAUACCUGAUUUAUGCCGCUUCAGCUUGGAUGAGUCUCCAUCUUGUGGAACCGGACUAGAAAGCUGUGACAAUGAUUCCCGUUGCCCACCGCUAUGGAUCGUGCCAUCCAUGAAGAAUACCUGGGACUGGAACCUGGAGGAGGACAUGUAGCCCAUCUAUAACAUGUAAGUGGAGUACGGUAAUUGUGAACGGUAGCGCUGUGAAUAUAUGUGGACUAGUCGUGCACAAAUUUAUCACAUGAAUUGGAGAUGAACUUGUGUGGCAUACUGGCAUUUGUCCUUUAGAAUUUAUUACUAGUAAAUGCGCUAUGUGUACGUGCAACUUGUGUGGUUGUUGCACGGGCUCCAACACGCUCUUUGAGAAAAAAAGGUGGCACAGCUUUGGAUAUACGUGACGUGGCGGCAUCAUAUAGUAGCAUCGUUCACUAUAGUUGUAGUACACUCCUACUAGGACGACAACUCCUAUAAAACCUUGCACUUGGCUCUUUGCCUCUUCGGGAGGUUCAACAGUUCGUACACGUGUGAACCUUGCCCUUGGCUCUUCGCCUCUUUGGAAGGUCCAACAAUGAUGAUACUACAAUAUAAUAUGCUUCUAGCAAUCUGACACCGAUUGAACUACUGCAUGAUCACCGCGAGGGCGAGGGCGAUGGCGAGGGAGAGGGAGAGGGAGAGGGAUAGGGCGAUGUAGUCAAAACCCUCUCCUCGUCCUGCGAACCACCGCGCGCGUGGGUGAGGGAGAGGCAUAGUAAGCAAGCUUCUCCUCGUUCGGCGAGUUGACGGGACACAUCAAAGCAGUACUAGUACUAGUAGUAGUCCAUACUGCGUCCUUACCGAUUAAUAUGGCUUAAUUUGAAACGAGAAAAAUACACUGGCGGUCAACGUAUGUAACAAUACGCUCUUUACGGUCACUAUAUAUGGAUUUGGGGUGAUUAUACAAUCACUAGCUCAUCAUAGAGCACCGUAUUGCACCCUACUGACCGGCCACAUAGUCGACAUGGCACUUUGUUGACUGGUUAAAUUGUCACCUGGUUUCUGGAUCCCACCUGUCAGUUGGCAGAGCCAAGAAAUCAGUUAAACAAAACUUUACGCAGGCACAACACGAGUCCAACCCUUGCGCGCGAACCGCCAUGGCUGUGUAUGUGAGUGCAUGCAUGUGUACUCCCUUGGUCUUCCAACAAAGAGUGUACAUCGGCUAUAAGGCUGGUCAUAGUGGAGAGUAACAUAUACUAGUAUCAUGCAUAUGAUACUAGUGUAUGAUACUACAUCUAUAGUGCAUAGUAACAUAAAGUAGUAUCAUAGAUGAUCUCAUUUAUUGCCAUGCAUGACACAUAGUAGCAUAACAUUUAUUAUGUUACAGUAUCUACCUAUGUUACUACUACCCUCUCUCUCUUCUUUAAUUGUUUGCCACAUAAGCAUGUUUGCGAGUCCCAAGUACAUGAUACUAGUUAUGUUACCCCCACUAUGGCCAGCCAAAAACAAAGAGUGUAGUACAUGAUGUACAUCUACACUUCCAAUGCAUUUAGCCUUUAAUCUAAAUCGAUAUUGAUUGACUAAUGCACCAACUUGUGCUGUAGGUAUAGGCUACAUGUCUAUCCUUAAUUACAGCAUGCAACGGCCUUCAUUUAAUCUUCUUCAAUGGUCGCAUGCACACAUAAGUCUGAUACUUUUGGGCGUUAAUUAUGACCUGGUCAAUGUGUAAAUCUCUAAAUGUACAGUCUUUCACGGAUGUAGGGAGUAGGUUGAGCACUUGAGCGUGAGCGUGUGUGUUGCAUCGUGUGCUGUGUGCCGCAUGGGUGCGUGAGUGUUGCGUUCAUCCAUGUGUACGUGUGAGUGCUGCAUGUUGCAUCCAUGCAUGCAUGCAUGGGGCUUACUCCCUUCCAUUGACAUGUUCAUAUUUCAAGCUUCCUCUGUUCCCUCCAUAUGGUGAUACUCCCCCUGUUCCCAAAUACGGAGUAAAAGCCUCCCUCUGUUCCCAAAUAUGGAGUAUUUGUCUUUCUACAGAUUUCAACAAGUGACUAGGUACGGAGCAAAAUGAGUGAAGUGAGCGUAGAUGCAUAGGGAUACUGUAGAAAGGAAGUCCUCGCGAUCCAUUAUUCCCCAUCUCGGUCAGAGAGAACUAUUCAACUAGUCUUCGCAGUGAAGUGACAAUACACGCUGCAGCAGAUGGGACACGUAAUUAAUAAGCUGAACCAGCGUGUUGGUGUUACUAAAUCAGCCUUACCCAGUACUGCCAUCAUGUUUGCCAGUAGAGCACGCUUCCGCAAAUACGCCUACGCACCUCUGUCCUCCAUUAACUGACAUAUGGGCCCUCUUGUGGUAUACCCACAUGUCAUCGGUGUAACUAUUUACACUCCGAAGGACGGUAUAUCCUGGUAGUAGUACUAGUAGAAUUGAGAUUUAAUGCACUUUCUUCCCCGUCUUCCACUCUUCUUCCUCCUCUCUUCUUCUUCCUCCUCUCUUCCCAAUCGUAGGCCGCACACCAUUUACCCAUGCUCACUGCUCGCCCGCCCGCGCCAUCUUCCUUGGUAGCUCGCGCGUACCAUAUCCCCCCGCUCACUGCUCGGCCACACGAGGAGAAGCUUCUUCGCUCGCCCGCCCGAAUCCACUUCCCCGCUGGCUCGCAGGCACCAAAAACCCCAAUGGCAGAACCGACUGACACGUAGAGCCUCGAUUGGAAUUCCCUCCCCAAUGUUCUCUAGGAGCAGAUCUGUAGUCGUAUGGACCUACUCAGCACUGUCCGUCUGGCCGCAUGCUCAGUGUCUUUGUACCGUCUACUCGUCUGCAACCGACUGGCUCUUUUCAAGACACUCUGCUUGCUGAUGCCAGAUCCUCAUAGGUGGCCCAGACACCGACUUGACGAUCCUACAGAGGUUGCCGUGGUGCCCCUCGACAUGCUACCACUACCCAUCCACCUGUCCUUCAUGCGCGGCCACUACUAGGCAGGCAUGAAGGUCAACUGGAUCGUCCUCAUCCACCACUCCGAUAGUCUGUGACGUCUCAUGGAUAUCUACACCCAGUGAGAGAUCACCCUUCCAUCAUUGGAUACCGCCGCCAUCGAGCCUCGCAGCCCGUCGGACACUCCUUCCUACUACGCACGAGACGCGUCAAGCUUUUGGCUUGACCUCUGUUUGCAGAAAGUUGUAAUCUGCGAAGUGCCCACACCAUCAGAAGACUACAUGGAUUACAAGCUCAUUGCGUUGUUCAACAUGGGAUUAGUCUAUUUGGAAUCCAGUCGCCAUACAUGGUUAUGGCUCAUCAUCAAUCCUGUUGAGGCAACAUUUAUGUCUGAUGCUAUAGUGCAUGAUGGCAUCGUUUACGCGGUCGACGCACAUAUUGGUUGCCUAUACUGGUGGAAUCUAUCAUCGUGUAAUUGUUCUAUCUCAUCUCAUCUUUACCUUAUGAAUACGACUGCAUGUUCAUUUGUUUCAAAUUUAGAAUACAUAGCAUGUCUAUAACCACAUCAUUGCUAUAUGUUCCUCUCAUUUCCUAGAUUUUUAUGACCACACAUGUUAUUGUUAGAGUUGAUAUGAUAACAAUUGGCAUCUAAUGAUUGUUAGAAUACAUAUUAUGAGCAUAACAUCAUGAUUGCUAUAUGUUACUCUCGUUUACAAGAUUUUUAUAACAACAUAUGUUAUUGCUUAGAGUUGAUAUGAGAACAGUAGUAGUAAGUGCUAUGGUAGAAUAUGAGUAGGCGCUGUCAUAGCUAUUUUCCUCUCAUUGUUACAUGAUGUUUGAACCCUGACAUAUUGCUAGAAUAUGAAAGCCAUUGGCUUAUUUUUUUAACUUGGGGUAUGAUUAUGACCACGACAUUGCAAUUCUCUGUCUAUGAUAUGUGUCACCGUUAUAAUAAUCUUAAUUCCACACAUACUCUGAACAUGACUGUUUAUUUUUGUCCUUUUGGUCUCCAAUUUGAAUUGUUGCAGCAGACGCAAAUGCACUGGCCUUCAUGAUUCCAGGACUGGAAUCAUACCAGCCGAUGGGUGGUGGUUUAUCGCUCGUUCAGCUUACGGCGGUCAUUUGAUUCACAUUCGCACAUACCAAAUUGACCAAACCAUUACAUCAAACCACAUGUAGUACAAUGCAUGGGGCGUUCGUGACAUUGAUGGCUAUGGCUGCUUCGUGUUCGAGAAAGAUCCUAGCUCCGUUGGUCCAGGCGUAUUCAACUGGAGGCGGGUUUACAGCCUCGGCAACCACUCCUUGUUCCUCGGGCUCAAUUAUCCUAUCAUCCAACCAAUCAUCGAUCAUAUCAUCGGCGAUGAUUACCGAACUAUGCAACUUCUAUUCGCGAGGGGGGAUUGUGUUUACACGUCAUACCAUGGGUUUCAUGAAUCAUCAUAUCGAGAGAUUCGUCGACACAUCUUGUUGCCAGAUAAUCUUCAGUGUGUGAAAGGCAUCAAGCUUCCAUGCGAUGGAUGGCUUUUGCAAACCUGACAUGCGGCGAUGUGGUUCAUGCCAACAGCAAGUAUGCACAACUUGAUUCGUGCCGAUAUCUAGACUGAGCCAUGCAUUCUGCUGCUGUAGCACGACCCUCUUUUGUUGGAUAUUAUGUACUGUUGUUAGUUUGAAGCACUCAUCUGGUUUGAAGGAUAGUAGAUACCUUCCUGGGAUCAAGUGCAUCCUAACUCACCUGGGUAGGAUGUACUGAUAAUGAUGAUGGAGAUGCUGUGCAGAAGCCAUAUAUAUAUCAGUUAGGCUUCAAGUGCGUACUUGUUCGUUAAACCUAUGUAUAAAUUGUGACACUAAAUACGACUAGUAAGUAAACAGUAGCAGUACUAGUAUACCUCGGUCAAAUUAUUCAUCAUGUCGACACAUUGAAUUGACGUGACAACACGCUGCACGUGAGGUGACACAAGAAUCUCGGCGGCGUGUUCGGGUAUUCUGGACUUCAGAUGUGGAGUACCACUUAUUUGUCGAAAUCUUUCAGCAUUCACUUAAAAUAGUCGAUUGAUCAUACAUUGAGUACCAUAUAACUGGAAUUACCGAUGCAAGUUGUCGUGGUGGGUGCACGACAGAUGCCAAGGGAUGGCUAAAGAGAGGAGGAGGCUCGAGGGCACUGGUGGGCUCCAGAGGCGAGGUUGGCAUGAGCGGGCGCGGGACGCCGGACAUACCCAGGUUCGGGGCUCUCCGGAGAGAUAAUACCCCUAGUCCCGCCGAGUGUAGUUGGAUGAUCGAUAGUACAAUGUUGCUCCUGGAGCUGUAUGGAGGAGGAAGGAAGCUGGCCGAGGCUUGGGAUGCUCCUUCUCCCCGGUGUUGCUGUUGGGUGGCUAGUUCUAUGCUCGCUGGCUCUGUCUGUUUCUCACAGGCAGCUUUGCAUUAUAUGUCUCUCUCUCUCUCUCUCUGCCCCCCGUAGGCGUGGGUUCCUGGGUGGUUUUAUAGAGCAACCCACCCAGGGUUACAAUGGUAAUAUGCCAAGCCGGUGGGUCUGUAUUGUCGGUGUUCCGGAUACCGGGAUGGGUCCCGCUUGAGGGCUUGUGGUUCACCGGGUUCCCCUAGGUGCGGGCCUCGCGGGCCUAGGGGAACUGUGCGCCAUCUUGUCGAUCGUUAGGGCGUGGCCGAGUCGAGUCGUGUACAGUGCUCUCCGUCAGGCUGUCGCUCGCUAUCGUUAGCGGUGAAGGCGGGAGCACUGUUGCCACGCCAUCCUUGGUCAGCGGGUAGGUGAGGGGCAUUGUUGCCACGCUGCGGCUGACCACAGGCAUGGGUGGAAACACUAUUGUCUUGGUCAUUGGUGACUGUCGUCUCGUCCCAUCGUACGUCCUGGAUGGGACGGGAGCUGACCCGUGGCUGGGUUGCCAUGGACGCCACGGGUAGGGUUGGCUUGCUGGGGAAGCCUUGGUCAUGCCGGGUUCAGCCGUCUUGCGCCAGUUGUUGAGGCCAGGUCGACGUACCUUGCCGGGUCGGAGAGUUUGGCCGGGUUGCGGGCUUCGCCGGGUCGAGCGACCCGGCCAGGCGCGUGCCGGUUUUGUGGGGCGAUGCGGGCCCCACUAUUUUUGAAGAGGAUCCGGGUUCCAUUGCCUGCCCGGGGUUCACCCCCCGACAGUAGUCCCCGAAGCUAUGAAGGUCCGCCGUCUUCGGAUGUGCGGGCCUUCGUUGUUUCCCCCUUGAGCAAGGCGGAUUCUGCGAGCUCCGAGUUCGGCAACACCCACUGUCUGUCGGUUUUCUUGGAAACCGGAUCGCGGCGUCCCGGCCGUGGCGAGAACCGAGGAGUCCGUCGAAUCUUGAGGCAAUCCCUUGGGCUUCAUGCAGGCGCCACAUGGCGCCCGGAAGUUGGAGGGGCCUGAUAGGCCACGCGCGUGACGGGACUGGACGACGGGUCGGGGCCCGCCGCCGCGCGCCCUUGGUCCAUCUGCGCGGAUUUAUUGCAGCGUCUGGGGGCUGGUUGCGCUUCCCUGAGCAGUUAGUGCGCGUGUACGUGCGCACUUAUUGCGGGGUAGUGGAACGGGUGCAUGCAGACGAUACCACUUCCCCACGUUUGAACCGGGGGUUAUAAAUUGAGGGGGGCAAGGGGCGGCGGACACCAUUCUCGCUCGCGCCCUCCUGUCCCCUUGCUCCUGAUCUGCUGUUUGCCACCGACGCACAGCUGCUCCCGCAGUCCCGAGCAGAGCCUGCUCCAUCGCCCGUCUUCUUCUUCCUUCUUCUGUCCAUGGCGUUGCCGUCGGGCUCCUGGAUGGGCUCCAACGUCACCAGCGAGGACAUCACGCGGCUUCGAGCUUCAAGGCGCCUGCCGCAGGAGACGGACGUCGGCGUCUGCCUACCGUGCAACAAGCAGAGGCCCCAGCCCGAGGGGCUAGAGCGCGUCGUCUUCCUUAUGCAUUUCGAGAGCGGGUUCGGGCUGCCGGUGAGCACCUUUUUUCGUGUGUUCUUGGAGUUCUUCGGGCUUCAACCGCACCGUCUUGGCACCGGCGCCGGCGUCCAGCUCUCCGGCAUCGUGACCCUAUGCGAGGGGUACCUGGGGGUCGAGGCGACGAUCGAUCUUUGGGUGCGCUUCUUCUCCUUGAAGCAGCAGGGCCCGUUGUCCGAGGAGUUAGCCGACUGCGGCGCCGCCGUCAUCUCGAAGCGGUCGGGGGCGGAUUUCCCCAAGAUCCUGCUCGAGGAUUCUGCCAAGAAGUGGCAGAACUCCUUCUUCAACGUCCGCAAUCUCGGUGCGGACCAUAUCAAUCUUCCGCCCUUCGUCAUCGUGCCGCCGUGGGCGAAGACGAACUGGGGCUACUCACUCCGGCGCCCGUCGCAGGAGAUCGUCAACCUCUACGAGCGGGUGACGGUGAUGAGGACGCAGGAGGGGCUCACCGGCACCGAUCUCCUUGCCGCAUUCAUCACCCGCCGGGUCCUCCCGCUUCAGAGGUGCUCCUGCCUCAUUGGCGAGAUGAUCCUCCUGCAGGACCCCAACCGGAUGGGGUCGACGCGGCUGUCUGUGGAGCAGGUCGCGCACGGUGUCAAUGACAUCUCCAAGGCCAACCUUGGAGAGGACUAGCGAUUUGGCAAGGCGCCGUAAAGCCAGUUGAACCCGGUGCCAGAGGUGAGCGUCUGGUCUUCUUACUUUGCUGCCGCGCAUCUUCUUAUUCGUCCCGACGCGACGCGGGAGAUUCUUCUGAACGCGAUCCGGCACCCUUACGCCCAGGCUCCGUCGCAGGUGGCACCGGUGGUGCCAGAGGAGCCCGCGGCUCCUGGCGAGGAAGAGGUGGCUGAGUCCGACGCCGGCUCUAGGCGUCGCGCGGGUAAGUCUUGUAUCUAUCUUUCUUCAUUUGAAUUGUUUGAUCGUGUCGCGACGUGGGCGACGCUGACGCUGGUUGUUGGUGUAGUGGCGUUGGGCGGGGGAGGCGGCGACGCGGGCGGAGCCGGGUCCUCACAUGGGGUAGCGCCGAGCCACCCGCAUGGAAAAGACAGCCUCGCGCCGCGACCCCGGGCCCCGAAGCGCACGGCGGACCCGGCCGAGCCUGGGAGGCCGGCCAAGAGGAAGCGCGGUGGUGGGCAUGGGAGGACGACCCCGGUCCUGGUCUUGGCGGGGUGAGCUUCAUUUCUUGCUUGCGCCUGGAUUUUUUGAGCCUGUCUUGUCUCUUUUUUGCUUAUUCUGCCUUUUUCUUCAGGUCGCCUAUCGCGCUGGUGAGGGCGGCGGCGGAGGCCGCGGCCACCGAAGGGGCCGUGUUCUGCAGGAGCCGGUCCGACCUCGCCGAGCAGGGCGAGGUGGAGAGGCGGGCCGACUCGGACCUCGGACUAGAUCCCAACGACGCCGAGGCCUUGGCCUGGCGGGACAAGAAUCGGGCCGAGGCGGAGCUGGAGGCGGCGUCGGUCUAGGCUUGGACCGACGCGACAGCGGCAUGGGCGCGAUCCGGCGUGGAGCCGGCCUGGCGUGAGAUGCCGGAGGGUACGAUGGUGGCGGCGACGGUCUUUGAGCCGUCGUCGUUGAGGGAGCGCAGCCGUGGAGGCCGGGCUGAGGUGGUGAUCCUCGACCAGGAGGUCGUGGAGGUGGGGAGCGAUACCCCGCCGCGGGCCGACGUGGUCGAGCGCGUGGGGGAUGAUGGUGGUGGAGGUGGCGUCUUCUUGGAGGAGACGCCGCAGGCGGCGGCACCGAAGGUACCGCCGGCUACGGAGGAAGUACCGCGGACGGCGGUGCCGGAGGCCACCCCGGCAGCUGGGCCGGUGGUGGCGAUGCAGGGCAUCCCGGCGUCCGGGUCGUCGUCGGUGCCGGGAGGGGCGUCGGAGGAGGUGCUGGCCGCGUCGCAAGCGGCCGGCGGGGGGCACGCCUUGGUGCCCCGGCAGGGAGGGCGUCGAGCCGCCGUGCCGCAACCAGCGCAGAGCGGGGGCGCCACUGUCUUCGGGCCCCAGACCCAGGAGGAGGCGGCACUGGACGCCGUCAGCCGUCGCCUGCGGGGUCAGACGGUGCGGCUUCAGGCCUUUGCCCAGGCCGAGGUGGAGCGGACGCGCGACCUGGAGCGCGCCGUGCUGGUAAGUCUUUUUUGCUUCUUCAUGAUUUCUUCUUUGUGGGGGCGCGCCAGCGCACCCACUGGGUGUAGCCCGCGAGAUUCGGGCCAACUACGUAGUAGUUGGGUCGGAUCUUCUAGAAUGUUAGCCUCGUUUUUGACUUCUGAUUUCUUUAGCAUCUUGCCAUCUUCCGGGUUGCCGCCUUCAACCGUCUCCUGGGCAAACAUCGGGAGCUCGUGGAGCAGCUUGCCGCCAAGGAGGAGGAGCUCCGCGUUGCCGCGGGUACUCUUGUGUUCUUUUUUAGUGGGGGCGCGCUAGCGCACCCACUGGGUGUAGCCCCCGAGAUUCGGGCCAACUGUGUAAUAAUUGGGCUAAAUCUUAAGUGUUACCUUUUUUCUUCUGCUGAACCUUUCUUCUUUGCAGCCGAGGUGUUGUCUUGGCAGACCCGGCUGCUCCGGGGCAGUCAUCAUUACGACCAGCUUGUUGCUAAUGCCGACCGUCUUGGCGUCGAGGCGGCGCAGGCGAGGGCGGAGGCGGCCUCGGCCCGACGGUCUCUUGACGAGGCCAACCGGCUGCAUGAGCAGCUGGCAGGUCACAAGAGCCGCCUCGAGGCUGAGGUGGAGCUUCUCAAGGCGGAAGCCGCCAAGGUCGCGGAGG